rnacentral:lncRNA from 1 species
GGAAAUAAAAUGUUUUUUCUGUUGUGCCUUCUUACGCAAUCAUCGUACGUUUGACAUGGUUUUAAAAUGCGGGCUCUCAGCAAAUGCAGUUGACCUUUGCUUUGUUACCCCUUAGCUUUUGUUGUUCUGUGAUAUUCUCCCUUUUUUUUUUUGUGGGGACUUUUGAGUGCUAUGUAACCUAAGCAGUAGAACUUAAGAACCAACCCUUUUAGUGUUGUUUCUCAACUGUGUUAUUAUCACGCCCAAAUUUGCUCAAAUACUUCUUCAGCUUCCCUUUUUUUUUUUAUUUAAUUUUUUUUAAUCUCAGAUAAGGUUCUCUUCACAGAAGAUUAUCAGCUUACCUAAAAUUUUCUAGCUCAACCGAGUUCCAGCAGUGUAUAUAUGAGUAUCAGCUCAUUUAUUUUUCUUUUCUUAUUUUCCCUUGGUUACAAGAAAGUUUGGUUGGAAUGGAGGAUAUCAAAAUUUCGAAUAUCAGUUUGGUAAACCUUGCAGGAAUUGUAGUAGUAUACAAGCAUCCAGAGCAGAAAUAAUAUGCUCCAACAAGGGACGCUUUGGAAAAAAGAGUAGUUUGAGUUAGCUACUGUCAAUCUCUCUCUCUGUCUCUCGACAUGAAUUAUUCUUAUUGUUUGAAGUUAGCUACUGUCCCUUUUUUUCUUUACAAAAUUAAUUUAACAAGCAUGUACUGAAUGUUUUUUUUUUUUUUUUAAAAAUAGCGCGGGGAUUAAAACUCAAAAUCUUUACAUUCCGGAGUAUUAACCUUAGCCGCUAGACUGAGACCUCCUUGAUUAUUAGAAAAUUUCAUCAAUUAUUCUAAAUUUGCUUCAAAUUAGAAAUAUUGAGAACUGGGUUUGUUUUUUGUCGAAACUUUAGAAACUAAAAUAACGCAAGUACUAAACAUUAGAGUCCAAAACUGCAUUUCUCAAGGCAUAGUGACAAGGUGUGCUAAUUGAUUUCAUUUUCUAACUUAAGUAUAGAUAGCGAUAAUACAUGUUAACAUAAAUAGGUGUACAUUGACAACAUUAAUUAUUCAGCAAUGGGCAAUGGAUAAUUUUUUUUAUACACUGUCAACGUAUAAAUUUUUUUUUUACAUUAGCAGAUUUAGAUCAAAUCACAUAACAUGAAUUCAAAUUUAAAAUUCAAAUCAUGCACAUGUGAUAUAUAAAGCCCAAUAGUUCAAGAUUACUCCACAUCCAAUCAAGGCUAAUUGGCAUCUUACUAUGUAUUUUGCAACUGCCCCUUUACCUUUGAAAAAUUUCCUACCCUAUGUACAUUACCCCUUUAAAAAGUUUACUCUUGCACCUUAAAGUUUGUAAAACUUUUUCCUCCAUAUAAAAACUGAAAAUCAAGUCUUAUGCAACCCUACAAAAAGAAAAUAAAAUGUUGGGGAAGGACAUCUUUAUGAAAUAAAAUUGAAAGGAAGGUAGAGCAUUCCAAGUCCUUUUCAUAUACAUAUGUAUAUAUGUGUGUGUGUGUAAAAUAAAAUUGAAAGAAAUGUAUAACAUACCAAAUCUUUUUCAUACAUACAGACACACACACACACACACAUAUAUAUAGACACACACAUAUAUACAUGUAAAAAUUUGCAAAUAUAAGCAAGAGGACUCAGAAACAUUUUUAGGUGGUCGUCAAGGCAAAUAUAUACUAUAAGCCAUUAUGCACGACGAGCGAACCAAAAUUGUUAUCCUCAUCGCCCUCUUUGCUUCCUCACUAAAGGAAGAAAACAGAUUUAGAAUCCAAUGAUCAAAGAAAAAGUAGACAAGAAAAUGAUAAAGCGCCACCCCCCCCCUCCCCCCUCCCCCCAAAAAAAAUAUUCUUUCUUAUUCCAAGAACUGGUUUUCCCCCAAAACUCCCAAGCCCUCAACACCAACAAAAUUACACACAGCUAUGGUGCUGAAUGCCAUAGAGUGCAGCUUAUAUCUUCUUUAUUGUCUUGCUCCCCAAGGCUUUAUGGUUUUUCUUUAUUAUUAUUAAAAGGCAAAGUCAAUUAAUGGAGCCAGAAAAGCAAUCAAACACCACCACAUAUGUAAGAUGUAACCAUCGAGGUCAAGCCAACCAAAGCUGGCGGAAUAUGACAUAACUAAUAUUUAAACAUUACUUUUUCAUUAGUUAUUCGCAUAAUGAACAAUAUCUUGUACGAAAUAUAUGUAUAGAAUUUGGAGUGAACCUAAUUCGGCCAAGGCUACAAGUUGAAACUGCUCUGCUCUCAUCCAAUAAUUAUGGAGAUAGGGUAAUUAAAAAAAUGCAAUGUGAUUUAGGUCAUGGUAUAAAGAUUGUAGUAAUGGCAAUUUCACUUUUAACAUUUUCAAAAAUGUAUAGUGAAUGAGGUUUGAACUUAGUGACAAAUUGAUUAGAGCGGAGCUUUGGGAUUAUGUCAAAUUCAAGUCUUGUGUAGUUCAAGAAUUAUUCUGAUAGGCAUCUGUUAAUAUACAUAAAGUACACUUAAUUUACCUGUUUUAUUAUUUUUUUAAAAAUACCAACACAUGAACUCCAUCAAAAUAUCAACACUUGAAGUGGGCACUCAUUAGACAAACUCAUACUCCCUCUGUUCCAUUUUAAUAGUUCUAGUUUUUUUUCUACACAGUUUAAGAAAAAGUAAUUAGCUUGGUUGGAAUAAUAAAUUGAGGUUGCUAUUUUUCUAAAAUACCCUUACAUUAAAUAGAGUACAAUUUUAUAUUAAUUAUUCAUGAAAACUUGAAUUGAUGGUUUAUGGGAACUUGAAUUGAUGAUCAAGAAAGAAUCAAUCAUCAUUUUACAUUAUUUCACAUUUUGGCUUGAAAGAAUAACAAAGCUGGCUUUUCAUAUAUUAAUAUGUUUUGGAAAAAUCUAAAUGUAUUAAAUAGGGUAGGUUAACAAUCUAUAUUAAAUAAGAUAGUUUAUACUAAUAACAACUUACAUUGAAUUAGGGUAUUUUAGAGAAAUUAAAAGAUAACUCCAUUCUUUAAUUGGAAAGUGAACUACAAUUUGGAAAAAUAGGACUGUCAAAGUGGGACGGAGUGAGUAAUAAUUAGCAAUGUCAGAUUUAUGAGUUUACUAUAUUUAAUUUCGUAUCCACAAAUAGAUAUUUUGGAAAAAGUUGAAGUAGUUUAAUAGCUAAAGGCAUUUAAUUCUUGUCUUUAAUCUAAAAUUUAAUCUUCAAGGUUCCAAUUCUGAAAAAAAAAACGACGUGUAAUGUACCGACGGAAUGCCAAGUUGAUCGAAAAUUUACACGCUUACACGCACACUCUCAUGUUCGAGCACAGUUCAGGAGUUUAAGAAAGGGUUAAUUCCACUUUGUCCCCCCAAACUUUGGAUGAUUAUCCACUUAAGUCCCUAAACUUCAAAAUGGGACACUUAAGUCCCUAAACUUAUAAAUACCUCCCACUUAAGUCCCUGAACUUAUAAAAUGGGACACUUAAAUCCCUAAACCCUUAUAAAAUGGGACACUUCGACCACCAACAGCAUUCAGGAUUUGUUAACAAUUUUCCUUAAGUUGGAGGUAUUUAUAAGUUUAGGGACUUAAGUGUCCCAUUUUGAAGUUUAGGGACUUAAGUGGAUAAUCGUCCAAAGUUUGGGGGGACAAAGUGGAAUUAACCCUUUAAGAAAUAAAAGAAGAGAAAAAGGACCCCAUCCCCAUCUGCCACCCACCGCCCUCCAUUUGAAGAGAAAAAGGUCCGGUCCACAGGUAAGGGAAAAAUUUUGUUUUUUUUAAGGUAGCAAAUUAAAGACUGAAAGAGUAUAUAAUCUUCUGUGUUAUUUGAGAAAGUAGUAGAAUGGAAAAAAGCAUUAAUAUAUGCAGUUGGCACAUUCAUCAUCACACAUUAGUUUUGUUUAAUUUUUUUUCUGAUUGAUAAGUAUAGAAAUAAUACAGCUUUAUACAACAAAAUCUCUGACUUUUGACGGAAUUAAAAAAGAUUCUUAAAAUUCUUUACGUUUGGAGUUCGAAUUUUGAAUUUAACAAUUUAAAGUUUGAAGUUUAAAUUUGACAACUACAGAUGAAAAGUGUAUAAAGAUGUGAGUAGCAUAUAAAGAAAAAAGAAAAGAAAAGAAAGCAAAGCUUUCUCAUCUUAGAAUAGUUUUAAUAACUUCUCAUAGUAUCUCUCCAUUCUCUUCCUUCUCCAAUUAAGGCAAAUUUUCAAGUCCUAGAAAGGCAUUUGCAACAUUGUUCAGCGGUACCCAACACCCAAAGAAUGAAUACUCACAUGGCAAGACUAUGAGAAUCUGGGCUUGAUGAUUGGACAGGGCUAGGGCCCCUUCAACACCUCAUUGCUGGCCCACUUAUUGAAGGGGAAGAAAAUAUGGUGGUUUCCCAAAUGUUUGGAGAAAGAGAGUCUUGGAACCUAAUACUCCCUAAUUUAGACCAAUUAUCUCUCCGGUAGAAGAUUGCCUUAAGUGGCACCUUACCCCAAAUGGACAGUUUAGCCUUAAAUCAGCAGUAGAUUUUAUCUGCUCAAAUAACACCCUUGUUGGAAGAUAUGGAACUUGAGAGGGAUUGGAUAUGGAAGAUCAUGGCUAGUAAUCGAGUAAGGCAUUUUCUAUGGAUUGCAUGCCAGGACAAGCUCCCAACCAAGAGCAAUCUACUCAAAAAAUUCAUUAUCCAAGAAGAUUGUUGUCCUCUAUGCAAUAAUAAUAGAGAAGACACCUAUCAUGUCCUGAUUUUCUGUCCUGGAGCCAAAGUUUUAUGGAGAAAGAUAGCUGUGCCUUGGAAUUUUUGGCCUUUUGAAGGAUAAAAUCUCUGCUCUUGGCUAAAGAAGAUAUGCAACAUGACAGAUUUAUCACCCCACUAUGGCAUACCAUGGGGAACCAUCGCAGCAUUUGGCUGCUGGAUGUUAUGGAAGAAUAGGAACAUGGCUCUGUUUGAACCUCAAUCCUGCCCACCAAAUCUUGCUUCAACAACAAUUGGAAUAGCAGCAGAAUUCCUAAGCAUCGGACCCAUAAGUAGUAAAACCAUCAAACAUAAGGAUCUUGUCAUGAUUGCUUGGGAAUCACCCCCUCCAUAUACUUUCAAACUCAACACGAUAGUGCUUCACUUGAAAACCCAGGACCAGUAGGGACCGGAGGAAUCAUACGCAAUCAUCUUGGAGAAUGGAUUAGUGGGUUUAUUAGAAAUCUGGGGUGGACUUCAAAUACAAGUGCAGAAUUAUGAGGGUUAAGAGAUGGGCUUCUCCUGGCAAAAUCUCUUAAUAUUCAACACCUUCAUAUUGAGAUGAAUGCUUCUGUGAUUGUCCAUUUGAUCUCUACAGAAACUAAUGAUACCUACUCCUACUCUUCUAUGAUUAAUGAUUGCAGGAAUAUCAUGAGGAGUUUCAUCACAACUACCAUUAAACAUGUCUUCAGGAAAGCAAAUUGCUGUGAUGGGAUGCAAAAACAGAGGAAGAAGGCCUCAAGGUGUUCAAUGACCAGCCUGCAGCCAUUGCAAAACUAGUAGAGAAUGAUUGUAGGGCACUUUGUUUGGCCCAUUUUGUAAAUUCGAGAUCUUAAACUCGAUCUUAGCACUGGAUCUUGUACUGACUGUUUGAAAUUUACUAACUUCUUUCUUACCCAAAAAAAAAAAAACUCACACGGCCACAAAGUGCAGAAUUAUAGUCCCCACGAGUACUACUGCUAUUCCCUAUUCGGUGAAGCAUUGCCAAACUCACAUUAUAAUAGUAGGGCUCCACCAAUUACAACUCUCAAAACAAAGAAAAGCUACCAUUUUCUCUUUUACUAUAGCAUUUAAAAUAGCAAGCAUUGGCAGUGUACAUACAACCAGCAACACUAGCGAAUUUGACACAUCAAAUCAAUCCCCUUAAGAUGUCAAGUUUACCACUGCCCAAUGAAUAAAUCAAAGGUAUAGAGAUCAGAAUCACACAACUCUCCGGACCAGUAAAAUGAGGGGAAAAAUACAACUUGGAACACAUGGCAUAUCUUGACAGGCAAGAAAGAAAAAUCUAUCGACGAAGCAAAAUUUAGAACUUGGGUUAUGACAAAAGCUUUGACGAACUAGCCAAAAACCGCGUUUUGCCAAGAUGGUUGGAAGCUCAUCGCCUCCUCAUCCCCCUUCCACGACCUCGGAAUGCUGCACCUCCGCGCCCUCUACCCAUAGCACUUGCAGCAGCAUCUCCUUGUGCGCUCUCGGACUGUAAUUGGGAAAAAGCAUUAGGAACACCGCGCAUUGCAGGAAACAAAAACUUGGGCGGUGAAGAGAGUCAUCUAACUAAAUCUUGAAGGUCAUCAAUCAAGACUAGAGAAGCAAAUGAACAUUCUACUUUCAUAGAAAACAUCAGCAUUUGAGAAGCCAGUCUAGAAGACUAUACAACUUAACAUACAACGAAAUCACCAGCAAUAAAUAGCGUCUAAUGCCGCAAAUAAGCCAUUUCCUUUUUUCCACAUCAACAACUCAAAUAAGGAGGUAAUUCUCACGGCAUCAACGUUACUUUUACAAUGAAGAACUUUUAAAUUUUAAGUCCUCAACUGUUGAGCUAGGCUGCACCUUUUCAAACCAAGGCCAAUAUUGGGUCAUCCUUGAUGAGUGUAAAAUGAAGUGCACGAUGUGACCAGUCUUUGACACUACUCAAAAGUCCAAGACCCUGAUUGUUGAGGCCCCAAGGUUGAGAAAUUUCUUUUGUGAUGACCUUAAAAACCAUGUUUACAUUUACCAUAUACAUAAUAUAGUUACUUAUAUCUAAUGUAUACCAAAAAUUACAGCUAUAUAUGUUUUUUGUUCAAUAUAUCUAUAUAUGUGAAUGAGUUUCCAUAUAUCUUAAAACUUUUUAUGGAAAUCUUCAUAAACAAGAAGUCUUUGAUUUUGAUAAAUUAAUAUGUGAUAUCCAAACUGAAUAAGGAAUAACUCGCAUUUUGUAUAUUGUGAUUUGACAAAAGUUUUUGUCCUGAUUUCACAUUCACCUGCUGCGUUUGCAAGGCUGACCAGUAUUGGCACCCAAAAAAAAAAAUAUUUGAUCAAGGUUUGGUCAGUCAAUUGAACAUUACACAUUACCUUGGGAUUUUUAACUGUUUCAUCUACACUUAAGAUCAGGCAAGCUGCUUCAGUAGCUGCAUUUAUGGCAUUUAUCUGCACCACAAAAAAAAGAGUUACAAAGCCAUAAUUCUUCUUAAACUACUUCUGUCAGCAGAAAAGUAGUGUUUCAGUAUCGGAUAGAAACAUGGUAGACACCUUCACCACUGCUGGCUCCCAUACAAAGUUGGCAAAUGAAUCAGCGAUUCCACCAGUAUUAAUAUCCACCCCAUAAAGUGCACCCUCACCUGUUCAGAUUCAUUGCAGCAAGUGACUAAGUUGACAGGAAAAAGGAAUCACAAACAAUCUACACAAAACAAAGUCUAUCCACCCAAAACUGAGGGCUUUGUAGCAAAGUAGCGGACAAGCAUCCUGUUAUUGAAAAGAAGGCAAAGAUAUAAUAUCAUAGACAUCCACAAAAAGCUCAAGGCGAACCAGAUGGCAGUGCGUGUUUUUGUCUUAAUUUGUUCAAGACAUCAGUUGCAUCAAAACCAGCAUUGUCACACAACUGCCGGGGGAUUAUCUGCAAGAAGUGGCAGAGAAUAUAUUAUUUGUCAACAGCAGACUGUGAUUAGAAACCCAAUACCUCCCACUAACAAAUCACAACAUUAACAAAUUCAGAGCGACAAUGCAAAGAGAUAGUUCAAUUCUAAUCCAAAGAAGAAGCUAGUGUAUAACUCUAAUUGUAGUUAAAUAGAAUACUAUACAUAAAGUGCAGCCAAUUCCUUGUCCAGGAUGACACACAAAAAUCUGUCAGGUAUAAUGCAAAUUUAAAAGAGAUCAAAGCACACCCCUACCAAGUACAACCAACAAAAGAAAAGGAAACCAAAAUCUCAGAAAAUAAAAUUGCAAACACGAGAUUUCCGAUGCCCUUUCAUUCCGUUGUUUUGCUAAUGUGCCAGAAGGGAGAUCAUUGUAUAGACUCUAGCAUCUCUUUACAAGAGAUACAUGAAAUUCAGGCUGACCUUAGGUUAGCACUGCUCCAAAUCCAAAAGAAGUCCCAGAGGUUUUACCUCCAGAGCAGACAACACCCUCUUUUUUCUCUAAAUAUACAUGAGGUGACUAAACAAGGAAGAUGAAAUCUUCAAACUACAAGAACUCAAAGAAAACUCUACCUACAGAGAUGCUACACCUACCAUUUAAGGACGAAUGGAUGUGCUAAGAAAUUUCAGAAACUUUGGAAGGAGAAUUUCAUAUAAGAAACCAACUACCAGGACAUAAAACCUCAUAUAGGAAUAGAAAGCACAAGCUCAAGAAAUAGAAUGCCUACCUCAAGGGCUUUAGCAUAAGAAUUAAUAAAGAGCUGAGACUUCCCAGCUAUUGUACGUGCAUGCUGCCUCAAGUAUCUGCUUAUCUCCAUCUGCAGCCCAGUGUAUCCAGUGAUCAAGAAUCAAGAUUCUAAGAAUCAUAUAAAUAUAUUGAAUAUCCUAAAAGAGAUCUCUAAGUCAUACAUCUAUAGCACCACCACCAGCAACAACAGUAGAGUUCUUCACAGCCCUUCUCACAAUCAUAAUUGCAUCAUGCAGACUUCGUUCAGCUUCCUCAAUAAACUGAGAACCAUUCAAGCAAAAAGAUUAGACUCAAUUAAAUUGCAAUAGCAUGCAUAGUGUCAUUAAUAAGCACCUGAUCUGCUCCACCGCGAAGAACAAUAGUGGCUGUCUGGCCUGAUGGGCAUCCGCUAAAAAUAUUAAACCGCUCAUUUCCAACUUGCUUCUCCUCAAAUAUCUCACAAGAGCCAAGAACCUUUUGACCAAAAAUAUGAAAAAGAAAAGCCACACACACACACAAACACAUGCAGAAAAUGAAAAAAAUGGUUACUAACAGAAAACAAAUCCGACAAAAGGAAAUUUAUACUUGGGGAAAGUUUUCCACUCUGUCCAACUAAAUUGGCAUGUAAUGUAAAGGAAGAAUUGUACCUCAUCAAUAACAUUAUUCACUGUGGUCUGUAUAGUUCCGCCAGUUGCAGCAGCCACCCGAUGCAGAUCCUCCUCAGUAACACGACCAGCACAGAAUACAUCCCGAUCUGCAAAAUACUGAUGAAAGCCAACAGGAUCAAUAGAUCUCAUAAUGAUACUAAACAUAAGUUGUCCUGCAAAAUGCAGAAAACAGUUCUAUACAUAAACAAAACUGAAGUAGAGCUUGACAUAAUAUAUAAUCAAUAAAGUAUAGCCCUACUUCUCACGCUGCGCAGGGAAGAAAUGCCAUACUUCAAAUCUAAUUAAUAAAUUUAAUUUUCUAUAGAUGUUCAAUAAGUUCAAUAGGAAAUUUAAAGUUCUAUACAUAAAGCAAACCCCAAUUUAAAACAGCAGCAGCUUUACACAUGGGGACAAGCCCAUGCAGCACUAAAGAAACCCAGAAAUUUGUUUGCCCACAUGAAAAUUUAAUCAUUAAGCAAUUAAGCAAGCAUUACCUGCGUUGCUAGGUCACCAAUAGCCAGCCGAGAUAAAAUGAUUUUAGCCCCACUUUUCACACAUUUAUCUAACUUGUCAUAAAUGAUAUUCCAUUCUGCAUCAACGAUUGACUGAUACUGCGAUGGAUCUGAGAGCCUGUCAACAACAUUUGCUGAGUAACAUACACAUUUUUAACACGAAAUAUGAAAACAAUUGCUUCUGUGGAUAAAACUGCAGAAAAACAUACUACCUUAUUUCAGCAUUCUCUUUCUCUGAUUUCAGUUCCAAUUCUAUAUUCAGCAAAAGUAUCUUGGGAUUUACAAAUUUCUUUGGUUGCUGUUCAAAACCAGCAUAUGAGAAUGUUUUCUUAAAGGCAACGCCAUUUACAAGAAAAGAAUCCCUCAUGUUACCACCAGGAACCUACAAAAGUAAGAUUCUUAUCAUUACAUACUUCAAUGAAACCACAAAAUUUCAAGCUUUUGUUACAGGUAAAAAGGUCAAGCUGGAGAAGGGCAUAAAAAUAACCUAAAACCAUAUAACAGUUAUCAUGACUGUAUUAUACACGAUGACAAUGUAAUGGCUUAGGACAAGCAUAGAAAAUUAAACCAUGCACAACAUAUAUCGCCCAAAAAACUGAUCCUAGUUAAGUACUAUUGACCCAAAACUGAAAUGUAGUAAAGGUGAAGUGGGCCAAUAGUGUAUAUAUAGUCUCUGAAGAAUGCAUCAAAAAAGUCUAGCCACCCAUCCAAAUAUGAUGGAACUCAGGUGUGUGAAAAGAGACAAAUGGUAUACACAUAUGAGUUUAAUUUCCACAUCUAAGACAAACACUCAAUCUGCUCAUCCAUUGCACAGUAUUGUUUGGAAGCCGACAUUAAUUACCAUAUAGUGGUGAUAGCAGAAAAACAAGGCACUUUCAGAGAAAGGAUCUUAUGCACUCAGAUAUUCCCCCAAACUAGAAUCUGCAUAAGACAAGAUUGCUAAACCACGAAAAACUUUUUUCAAGUUGGGUACAAAUUUAAAAAAGAAAAAUUAGUUACAAGAAGAUCACCAGCCUUGUGAUUAUCAAACUUUUAUCAAUCCACAUCAUGGAUAGAAAGAAAAACAUAUAGACUCAGGUAUCUAUUCAAAAACUAUCUAUUACAAAUACUUGAUGCUAUUCUGCGACAGCUUAAGUCCACUAUGUCAUUUCUAUCCAUUACAAACCCUUGUCUAAGUGAAUCAAAAGUCAACAACAAAGCGCUGAUAACGGUAGCAAAGAAUUUUGGAGUCCCUGUGUCUAAUUUGGUACAAACAUUUUGGAAACUCAGCCUUUUUGUUUAUUAAAUCCCUUAAUGUUGUGAGCUAUCAAAAGAAAUGUUAGGAAAUAUAUGCAAGAUUGAAUUUGGAAUGCGAUAUACUAGGCAAAUUUUGAUAGGCGAUACCCUUACCAUAUGACAGAAAUAGAAAGCAUGAAAAGGUUAAUAAGAAGGAGAUAAGCGGAUGAAUUCCUUAAAGGAAUUUACUUGAACAAAGAAAACAAUUUACCUACCCAAAAAAUAGAACAGAAAAUGAAUGGAAAGACUGACCCAAAAAGUUCUUUAAACAACACCCAAGUGAAUGACUGCUUCUACUACUAAAGCUUUCAAACUUCCAAGCAAUUGUAGCUACAAUGCAUAACCCGUGAAGAGAAUCAAAUGCAAAACAACAUACCGGAUCUAUAAAGAGUAAAAAUGAGGAGAAAUAAAAAUUCGAAACUCUGAAGGACAAAAUAUAAGUCACACCAAUCUCUCAAAAGAUAAAUUAUCAGAAUUCGAUGAGCGGUUUAGAUGGUUAUUAAAGUAUCCCAUGACCUGGAAAAAAGUUUACAAGCACGUGAACUAAUACCUAAAAGCACCCAUUGCAUACCUUUUUGAUACCAAUCAUGUUUAGCCUAUCGUCAUUUCCAAUAGCAAGGACAGCAUCUACAACCAUAGAUGCAAAGAAAUCCUUCUCACCACCAAUGAGUUUUGAGGAGAGUGAUGUAGCAGCACACUUAGCUAGUAAGCUUUUCUUCUCUUCUAAGCUCUUUCCUUCAAUGCUAACAGCCAAUUCUUUCACCUUUUCAAUUGCCUAUAGCAGCAUGAGUGAUUAAAUCAACAGUCAGUUUAGAUUUAAUGUCAAACACUAAAGGCCAGUGAGAAUUAUAUAGUUCUAUGCUUGUACCAAAUGGCCAGCUGUACGAUAACUUCUAAUCAGAUUUUGAGGAUGCACUCCAUCUUCAAUAAAAGGUUUUGCCUCCUUCAAGAACUCUGCUGCUAGCAAAACAACAGUUGUGGUCCCAUCACCAACCUGAAGCACAGCAGGAAAUAAGUCAGCUUUUUCAAAAUAUUAACCGCUCAGGCAAAUAUUUAAAACUUUAAGAUGACAUGAAAACAAUCAUGCAUGAAUGCCUAGGACUAAAAUGCACUAACUAUUAACUUAUUUACAAGUGAUUUAAUUGUCAAGUAUCUUCCCAUCCUCCAAUCAAUCUCUAAGCAACAGUAAACAUAAUCAUACAACAUAUACCAAAUGGCCUAAAAGGUGCAAGUAAUGGCAGAAAUGACAUCUGCAUGUUGUAAAUCAUUGAGGUUAAAAAAAAAAAUCUGUAACAAGGCACAGUGAACAAAUAUGAGAUGGCACACAUAAUGUGCCAGUUCUUAUUUACAUAACUUAAGGCCAAGAGUUCAAGAUAAUGUGCAUAUUGUUUCAUUCAUCCUGAAGGCAAAGGACAAUUUUUUCUAAUCCCAACCAACAACAAAAGUUAUUUUGUCUUAACCUUCCAUUUAUUGAGGACAACAACGGAAGUGGCAUCCCACUUUUUUAUUGUCCAGCUAGCAGAUUAGUCACAUGACAGAUGUGACACUGAGUAGAAGCAAACUAGAACAGACCAUUUGCUACAUGGUUGCAGAAAUUCCUAUUUUUUCAUUACCCAAAAAUCACAGUAUGACUAUAUUUCUAACAUGCUGCUAAUCCACUAAUUUUAUAUUUAGAAAAAAAAAAUCAUUAUUCUUGACUCAAAUGAAUUUGCAUCAAACAACAUCGAUCAUUCAUGAAAACAAAAACACAAAACCAACUGCAGUAACCACAAUAGAGGUACCUCAGAGUCCUGGGACUUGGCAAUGUCAACAAGAAUCUUAGCCGCAGGGUGAAUAAUGUCGAGAAGCUUCAUUAUUGUGGCACCAUCAUUGGAAAUAGUGGUGUUACCCUUCUCAUCAUGGAUCAACUUGUCCAUACCCCUAGGUCCAAGGGUGCUGCGCACCACAUCAGCCACAGCUGUACAAGCAUUUAUAUUGCUCAACAACUGUGGCUUUCCUUGGGAUGUAUCAGUGCCUUCCUUUAGCAGUAUGAUCUGAGGUUGCUGUUUUAUUGCCACAUACAGGAAUAGUGUUAGUUGAAGGAUUAAUUUAUCUUCAGAUUCUUCAACUCUCUAUACAGUAAGCUAAAUCAAGCAAAUUUAACAUAUUAAAAAAACUACCUUCUCUUUCUAAUUAAUAAAAUGGAACGUUAUUUCUUGAAUAUUUUAUUAUUUAUAUGGAGAUGCAAAAUUUUUCAUUUAGUACUGUUGAAAAUAUUUAAAAAAUGCAAUAGAAAAUCCCACUAAUUUUACAAAUUUCACCAACAAUUUGGUCAUUUUUUUCCCUUAAUUUCCCUCGCUUCCUGUAGAAACAUAAAGAAUAAAGCAUUUUGACAUACAUUUUCCCUAUCUCUUCCUUCCCAUUGCCCAAAAACUAAAAAAGAGAAAACAGGGCUAAAAAAAAAAGAAAAGAAAAAUUCAAGCACUUAACAUUUUAUUAAACCUACAGGAACUCAAUAAAACGAGUUUUUUUUCCAACUAAACCGCACUAACAAAAACACCUCGAUUGAGCUUACCUUUGUAAUAUACAGAUUUAAGCAACAAAGAGCUCACACUCAACAGAUCAACAGCACUUCUCCUACUCUUUCUUUCUUUCUUUCGUUUUUUCUCAACAUAAAUUUUACCCCUAAUCUUUAAGAAGUGAGCUUGGUGGUCGUAAAAUUUCCGAAUCAUCUUCAUUUCUGCAGUUUCUGAUAUACUUUUCUCUCACAUUCUUCGAAUCAUGACAGUGCAAAGAAAUGAAGCGGCAAAAGAUGCGAACUUGCAUACAUGCGAUAUACGUAGAGAAUCUAGAAAGGACAACUUACCAGCAUAGUCGCCAUUGUUAGCCCGAUGCGGAGGACGAGGACUGGACGAGUAGAGAGUGGUAAGCAGUUGAAAGUUCUAGGGUUUUAAACUUGUUUUCUCAGAGGUGCAGGGUUUCUGGGGACUUCAAACCUUUUUCUUUUUAAUAAUUACUCCUACGAAUUAAUGUUCUCUUUUGUAUUUUGUCCCGGAAACAUUGCACUUAACUCCCUUGAAGUCCUAUCAGCAACAAUUUGGACCUUCCAUUCCAUGUUUACUCGAUUUGUACAUUAAUAUUUGGAUAACAUAUUGUGAAUCCAUUUAUCGAAAAGAAAAUAGUAAGUUAUUUUAUUUGUCACUUUUGACUAGACACUAGUUUAAAAACAAUAUAUAUAUGUAUAUAUAUUGUUAAUAUAUAUUUAUUAUUUGAUAUCUAAUUAGAUAAUGAUACGUCGAGUAUUAUAAAAGCUAUGGCAUAAUGUUCUUUUGUAAUCUAUUAAAUUUUAAUGUUAAAGAAGUAAUAAAAUUCUAAAAGUCAUUAGAAUAAUGGAAAGCCAUUUUAGAAGCACAUAAAGAGUUUUAACUAAGUUAUAUAAAUAGAUCCCUUACUAGGAAUAUCACAAUAAGAUAUUUUAAAAUAAGUCUUUUCAUUUUUAUUUGAUCAACACUAUUUUUAAACUAACAUAGAGGCUAUAAAUAGGUUAAAUAUCAUGAGUCGUACUCGGUGGCUUAAAAUCAUGUUAUUAUAUAAUAUUUUUAAGUUAAAAGUAUUUUUUUAUUUUGAUUUUGUAUUUUUUGUUGUAUUAAGUUAAAAGAGGAAAAGAAUCAUAAUUAUGAGAAACUGCUACUGAAAUACUUUUACAAAUAAUUGUAAGAAUUUCAAAAUUUUCAGAAAUGAAAUUAUAUACUUGAUUAUUGACUACUAAUUCUAGAAGCGAAAGAUAACCAAUAUAGUUUUUACAAAGAUUAUUAAAAGAAAUUGACAAUUUAUCAUGAUUGACUACUAAUAUUGGAAAUUUUCUUUCCUUGGCAACAACUAAAAUAUGGAUCAAAUAUGGGCCCGAUGAGAAAACCCUAUAAGACUAUUCCAGUGUAACUAUAAUUUCAAAAAUCAACGCGCAGUUUCUUCAAUUAUAAAACUUAAGAGGAGCUCUAAUGUAAUUUGCCCAAAAUAUUAAUUCCUUCCCAAACGCUUCCAGAGUCGAGACCGGACAUUGCAGAGAAAGAAGAAAUCACACAAAAUUGCAAACUUCAUCAUCAAAGAUGGAUAAGGUAAUUAUCACUCCUUACUGUUCAAUUUAUAAGGCUUGAUGAUUCUUUCCUCCUCUAAUUCUAAUUCUCCCUAUAUGACCCGAAGAAAGGUGAAGAAUUGUAAAAAAAAAAAUUUUUUUUUUUGCAGGGUCUUAAUGAGAUUAAUUAUGAAACCUCUGCAGAUUCAACAACGGUUGAGAAAUUGGAAUCACUUUUGGACGCAAUCGAGGUAGGUUUGCUUAUGAUUCUCUGGAACUUUUUAAUCAUUAGUUUUUUCUUGCUCUUUUUGUGCCAAAAGUUUGUUUUUGUCAAUAUGAAUUACAAGGUCUAAUGAAUUACUUUUUGGAAAGUUGCUUCUUUUUCAAUGUGUUAUGGAUGCACUUUAGAGCUAGUUUGUUUUAUUUUUAGCUUCUCGAUCUGAUCAUUCAAUAGUUGCGACGUUGAUAAUAAAUGUGUUAGUGAGUAAUAGUGCUCUUCUUGCAUUCUCUUCUCAAAUUUGAUAAAUUUUUUUUUUUGUUUAUGAUCUUAUGACAAAAGUAUGAAAAAGAACAUAGACAAAACUGACUAAAGCUCAUGAAGAAAAUUAAUAAGAUAAAUAGUACCUAACACUUCACUGGUGGAUGCAGGAGUCAGGACUUUUUUUUUUGGGGGGGGGGGGGGGGGGGGAGCAGGCAGUGGGACUUUAUGUUUUUCCUUUUGAUCUUUAGCAGGGCCGAAUUUACUUUUUGGUUGGAAGUAAGUGAGAUUUGUAGCUUUGUUGGGAAAUAACAUAUUCUUAAAUCCCCGGGGGGUGGGUUAUGGUCAUUUCUUAGUACGUGUCCGUAUGAAUAAACAUAUGGGUAUUUAGCUACAUGCUGACAUUUAUGCAUGCAAAUGUAGGUGUAUAUUGGUGUGUUAUCUAAUGGUUUUGGUACUUGGAAAUUGGAUUGCUGCAGGAUCUUGAAAGGCAGGAAUCAGAAGUCCAAUCCCGUUGUAUUGUAGAAUAUGCGAAAUUGUUGGCUGAGGUUAGUGAGCUCGAGGAUAUGCUACAAAAUGAUGUAGGAGGGGAUUUUGUGUAUGGCAUUCUUGAUGACAGUAUAAAUGAGUCUAAGGAGAGACUGAAUAUGCUGAAGAAGGUAAGUACUAAAUCCUUUGCGUCUCUCCUAGAUCUACAGCUUGAAAGGAUUUGAUAUUGAAAUGACAUUAGUUUUUGUAGAAAUUAUUUAUACUCGAAACAGUCAUUGAAAUGCCCCUUUUUUAUAAAAACUUUAUACCAAUGCGGAUCCUUUAAGUAUUUGACUUUAUGAUUCUCAGUAGUAGGUCACUAAAUUGAUUUUCUUGAAUGGCAUAAGGAUUGUGGUUGGUGACCAAGGAGUUAUAAAUAAUUGAAGGAGCUAUAGUGAAUUAUCUUUGAUAUACUACUUUAUUACAUAUGUAGGUUUCCCGGAGAAAGAGAAAUUAGUUUGGCCGAGGUGGAAACCUCACUCUUUUAAAGGUGAAAACCCAGACAAAUACCCUCAAUUUGGGUUGUUUUUUAUGAAUAGCAGUAGUUUAUCACACUCUGCUGUGCCUUAUUGGUACUCUAGGCAUGCUUAGUUACUUAUUGGGAUCUUUGGAGACAUCGGAAACACUAAAAAUGUUGUUUUGAUUUUUGGAUUUCCUAUUUACCCUUCUAGUUUUCCUAUUUCUUUGCCAGUCAGAAUGUUUCUUUAUCAAUCAGCAUAGGGCCUCAAGUACAAUUCAAAGGGCAUAUUCUUUAGGAUUAUUAAAUUGUGUGUGGCAAAUUGUUUAUGAUCUGUUGGCAGGAGCUCGCAUCUAAAUUAAGAGCUAUCUUACUGCUAAGAAGACAGCUUGAUGACAUUCCCGUACCUGCUGAACUCCUCCAGUAUGUCAGUUUUUCAUAGCGGUAUUGCUUUAGAAAUUCAUUUAGCAAUUAAAGUGUCUUACUAUUAUUGCUACUCUCAAGAAUUUUUAUUUUUUGUCAUGAAAGCAAGGACUUCUCAUACAAAGAAAACCACUUUUUUGGCAUUUUGCACUUGCCGAGACCUGUUUGUGAUCGUUGAUUUGGUAAAGAAAAGUUUCAGACUAUUAACGGGUCAUGGUGUUCUGUUGUAGGAAACUAGGCCAUGCGGUAGUACAUUUUACGACUUUUGUUUCUCCGUAUAGUAUAAUAAUCCAAUAAACUUUAUUUUCAGGUACGAACUAUGCUGUUCACAGCUUUAUACCAGCAUUCAGGUAUGGACAUUUUCUGCAUGUUUGAUGCUUUUUAAAAAAAAAAAAAAAUCAUUUAUUGGCAUUUAGCCACUAAAUUGUCGUGUCACUGGUAUUCUUCAGAAAAAGCUUCGACAAACUCGAAAAUACUAUGAAACCUUCAAUGCACUACUGGAGAUAAAGGAGUUAAUGCUAAAGGAGACAUCCUUGCUCAACUCCAUAAGUUCACAGGUAAAAAGAGUGGCAUAACCCUGUUUUCUUGUUUGUUUGGUUUGGGCAUGCAAUGAUUGUGUUGUGAGAUGUAACUUGCAUUUGCUUCCAAUUUUUUGUUUUUUGGGUACUAAAAGUAAGAGUAUUUUAUCCUAUAUAUUAUAUGGCUAAUUUAUUUGAUGAAUGUAAAAAUGAAGCCAAUGGAUCACUAUUUAUAUGAAAUGCUCAAGAACUAGAGCCUUAGAUUUUUCGAAAGCUCCAGCCACUCAGUUAUUCGGAGUUGCAUUACUGAACAAUAGGCAUUGAGAUUCAUAUGUUGGAACUUUUAUCUCCGGAUGAUGAAAAAUGUUUGUACUAGAAUCUGGUACAGGUUUCCCUAGUAAUGUAGAAUUACUUUGCUUGAUUCUGCAAGUGGGUUUCUUGGAUCCAAGAGCUUAUUUGGCAUGGUUAAGAUAGUAGGAGAACAUAUGGUGGAACUAAAGCUUGGCCUUUAAAUGGCUGACUGGCUGAAGAGAUUGAGGCCCUUUAAGUGGACUUGAUAAAUUUAAGUAGUUGAAAGGCAGCAUUGGCUGACAACUUAUAAGAUUCAGAGGUGACCUUGUGCUGAAUAAGAAGAGAAAGAUGUUUUCAGACAUUAACAAUGAAUGGUGAGUGGAGUUAUUAGGUGGAUGGUGAUGGAGGGAAGUUGCUAAGCCAAAAUUGUGAACCAAGGGACAAGACACUACCUGGAAGUAGGAAGAGAUGAAUGGAGAAUGAUGCUUGACAGUGCAUGGAAAGAGAAGGAAAUUGUUGAGUCUGUAAUAGGCCUUAAUAUGCAUUUUCAUGUCUUUCUCCAAGCUAUUUGCAUUCUAGAUGUUCACUCUUCUAAUGGUGUUCUUUAUGGAGCCUUUUCCCUGCCUCUUGUUCUGUUUAUGGAAUUCAAAACCCGCUCAUUCCUUCAUUUGGUUGUCUCAUUAGUCUGGUGAUUGCACAAAUUUAAGAAUUUUUUUUUAUUUGUAAAAAAUGAAACAAGCUCAAUGGAUAAUUUGCUUAAACUAAGUCCUCUUUGCAACGAAACAUUGCUCCAGGUUGUCUUCUUAUUAUGGGCCUAUGUGUUCUAUAAUUUAAUUCUACCUCUUAAAAAUUUGCUGUGGAGCAUUUUUAGCCUAGAGUUGAAACAAUGUGUUAUACCUCUUGUAAAAAUACUGCAGUCGAGUAUGAUUCAAAUUCUCUUUUGUGUUUAUCUGUAUAAGACUCUUUAUGUGCAAAAGAACUUACUUUCUGAGUACAUGCUGCUAGGAGCCUUGGAGUUUGAUGGAUUUUAUUUAGAUUUGUCAAUGAAGGAAAACUUUUAUAUGUUGGAAUUUCAAAAUUGAGUGUAUUAUUGUACUCUUAAACUGUAAGCUUAACUAUUCUAUACAGAACUUGAGAAACUUGAUUUACGCUAGAGCAUAUUAUUCUGAGUUCAACCAAUUUUAAUUGAUGUAGAGUCCUCAAUCUGUAAAAGUUAAACUCCAUCGGACACUGCAUGAAGACAAGGCAUGGCUUAAAUGGCGAAGGUGUCACUGUAGAACCACAAUAUCAAAGAAUUUUAUGUCUGUGGCAGAUUGGUUGAUGCUUUUGAUUUCAUUUUCGGGACAUCCGUAGUGAAGAUGAAUUAUAUGUGCCUUUUUUGCUACUUUAAACAACACAUAAAAGCUAUUUUGGAAAGUCACUUUCUGUGGAUUGUGCUGUGUUAGGGUAUCAGGCCAACUAUUUGAGAUAUGAAAAACCAACAAUUUAAUAGAAAACAAGAACUAGCACGAAUAAUGAGUCAUACACAAGAAUUAACGUGGUUUGGCUUAAUCACCAAGCCUACAUCCCUGGAGAGAAAACCUGUUGUUAUUAUGAGAGAAAAUACUACAAGAUUACAACUUGAAUCCCAAGCUCAACCCUUGUAUAACCACUCUCUCCUAUCAAGAACCCUCUCAUCCCUUUUCUUGUGUGUCUUUGUAGAAUGCUAAUCUAUCUAUUUAUAGAGAAUGUUACUUGGCCAAGAACCAAAUAACAAUAGGAAACAACUAUGAAUUUCUAAACUUGUAAUAAAUAGGAAAUAGCUUCUAAUUCCUAAACUUAUACAAAAUAGGAAAUAACUUGUCAACUACUUCAAGUAACUAAACAAUUAGGAAACUAGUUAUUUCCACACAAAGCAAGGAACCUGCCCAAAGAAAUUAAGCCAAUUUCUUAACAUGCUGUAUGACACUCUGCUGCAUAUGUUUAACAUGCUGACCAUUUUAAACUUCUGUGCUUGUGCAAUAUAUUGUCAGUUGAGUACUAUAUCAUUCUGGGAACUGAUUUGAUUGUUUAAUUUUUACACAAUUGAUAUAUUCUUAUCCUUCAUUUUUUGGUUGCAUGUAAACUUGAAUAGUUCCAAAACGCCAUCACCAGCCCCACUGGCCGAACAAAACUCGUUGAUUCCAUGAAGGGCAUUCUGCAGGGGAUUCAGCAGGUGCCAGUGUUAUUAUUUUUCAUGCAUGUGAAGACAAAAUCAAUUUAGCUUGUCUGUCUUACAAGUCAAUCAAAUGCUUCACAGGCUUAUAUUUAGUUGCAUUGAAAGACCUUAAUCAUUAGUGAACUUUCGAAUUUUUUAAAUCCAUCUUUGCCCAAUAAAAGAACUUAAGGUUGCAAAAUGCCUUCUCGGCUAGGAAAUAUUGCUCACAGUAAAGUUAUAACGAAACAAAGAAACAUGAGAAUCAACAAAUUAUGUUUUCCUACUGACUUUGUUCAACGGAUAUUAAUAUGGGGAAUAUGUGCAAUCUUGGGCCACUCUGUGCCGCUUCCUUUAUUGCCUUCUCGGCUAGGAGCUUUUUUGUUUGUUAGUUUUCCUACUGACUAUGUAGUUUUCAUUUUAUAUUUCUGAUUCCAUUCUUUGUGAGAUUUUGAAGAAGUGAAGGGCCUUUUUGUAAUUUAACUGGCUAGGUGUAUUCUGAGACCUAUUGUUACCCUUUUUUGUGGGUACUCUUUUUUCCAAGUUUGAUCUUUCUUGCUAGUUCUGUAAGCAUCAUGGGCAUGUUCCUUGCCAAACUGAUUUUUGUAUAAGUAUCUUCAAUGGCAAAAGAGGUUAACUGUUGAGCACAGCCUGAACCAGAAGACCUUGAUAAUAUUUAACCCUCGUCGGUUUCUGAAACUUCAGUAACAUGGAAACUGUAAUGUUAUUUAACUUCUUCUGGUUUUGUCUGUUGGACUGGUUUCAUUUAGCCUACUUUUGCAUCUCCAUGGCCUUGAACCGCUUGUUACAGAAAGAAGUGAAGAUGUAAGAACUGAACACUUUAAUAUUGAAAUACAAAUUUAAGUGCCUAAGAUAUGGUGUACAAGGAUUUAGCUUUUUAUCUCUCUUGGCAAGCUGAGGUGAAAAGAAUUUAAUUGUCAGCUUUAGUUUUUGAUAGUCCAAACUUCUGACAGUUAUGCUGAUGGGAUCUUUUGAAUUCAUGCUUUACAAGUCUCAGUAUGAGGUACUAAAUGUAAAAGAAGUACAAUCAGUGUAUGGGUACUUAAGGAACUGCGCACUUUGAAUUUGGCUAGUCUCACAAUUUUUUGGGUGGCUAGGGUUAUGGUACCAUUUAAAUAUGUCCUUGCUGGGAUUUAACUUGAUUGCCUGUAUUAGGGGUUCCAUGACCUGUAGAAAUCAAGCACUUCCAUCAUUUAUAGCUGGUUUUCUUUGCAGAAACUGGAAAAAGUGCAAUUAGCGUGCGAAUCUGAGCAAAAGGCUUGUGACGCUCUAAAAGAGAAGCAUAGAAUAGCUAUUUCAGAGCAAAGACACUGCUACUCUCUCUUGAAGGCUUUCCAGGUGAGGAGUUGAAGAAAACCUUUCUGUUGUUAUAUAUAUAUAUAUAUAUAUAUAUAUAUAUAUAUAUAUAUAUAUAUGGCAACCUUUAUGUUGUUUUCAAUGUUGAAGAAAGUACAAAGAAUUAAUUGUACACGCUGUUCAAGAAUAUGCUAUUUCUCUUUAAGAUAUAGCUUUUUAUUAACCAAAAACAGUAUCUGUACAGAUCUUUAAGAUAUAGCUGAAUAGGAGGAAAUGACAUAUUUCACAAGGAUAGCUAUCGGAAUAGAAAAACCUCUGUUUGUUGCAAGUUCCAGACACACAUGGGUUAAAGUUACAUGUUAUUGGUUUCCAUGACAAAAUGCAGUCCAGAAAAGUGGGAAGUCUUAACAAAUAAGAAUUGAAUGAACGGAAAAAUUCUGUCUUGACACUUGAAAUAGACUUUAGUUUUUCAAAAUUUAAGAAUUGCUGGAAAUUAAAAAGGAAAAGUAUAAUCUCUAUCUUUUUCACUCUGUCCUGUCUCCUUUUAUUAACUGUUUACGAUCCUGUGAUUUUUACUAUUUGGGAACUAGUUUAACUUCUGAAACCUAUCAUGGAUAACUAAUUUGUCACUUGUAGCUUGGCAUGUCAGCAUAAUGUAUUUCCUCCGACUUAAAAGUUUUUUUUUUGUAAGAAAAGUUUAGGUGGAUUCAGCUUCGGUCACCACCACGAUUCAGGGCAUCACCCUCGGAAUCAUAGGUUGCUUAUAGGAUUCUUACAGAUUGUCCACAAACAUAGCCCUCGCAUCAGCAGCGAAAUUCAAACAUGCAACCUUUUAUGAUAAAGUGACUUGCCCUUACGAAUUAAGCCAACUUGUGUUGGGAACUUAAAAGUUUGUUGUUAGCUGUAAUGUUGGAAUUUGGAUUGAUCACAGUGGUGCUUUAGUGUACUACAGCCUUGAACAGAAGUUACUUAUCAAUCAAGUUGUCCAAUUUUUAGGAGGAAUGUGCAAGGAAUGAGAGAUUGCGGCAAGCCCGGACUUUACAACCAUCCUCAUGAUGCUGCACAAUCCUCAAUUGUUAUCUACAUGGAUUACAUAAUCGGACUGGGUGGGAUGGUCAAGUUUUUGAUUUACCUGACAGCUUUGAUUAGACAGAAGAUUGCGCGUGCUGUAUCUACAUUAGAUAUGACCAUCAUCUCAACUUGUAUAUAUUCCUUGACUUUGUAUACCCUAUUCUGGUAAAUCUUGCAUGCUAGCAUACAAGAUUUCUGAAAAUCUCACUCUGAUAUAAAUGAUUGUUAUUGCUUCUUGUGUAGUCUUCAUCAGCCAAUGCAAUCCCUUGGAGUUUACCAAGUCGUAGAGUUAGAUUCAGUUUAUUUAUUUUUUCCCUGUCUUGUCAAUUCGAAAGGAUUUGUAUAUUUGAGGGUGAGCGUGGUGGGGUCGAUUGGACUUGUAUUGUUAUUUGUUAGAAAUAAUGGGGUAAAAAUUUGAUAUAAGCUUUUCGCUGUGGGCCAAAAUUAGAAGUUCAUUUACCAUCAUAUAGCUAGAGAAUAACAAAAAUAACAAAUACAAAAAAGUGCAGUAGCAUGAAUAAAAGAUUAUUUUUCCCACAAAUUUGUCUCUAAUAAUUAUUUCAUCAGAACAAAAAGAAAAAAAAAAGAGUUGUGCAAAGGUAAAGACGAAAAGAAAAAGAAAGAAAAAGAAAUUGAAAAUGGCGAGCUUUUAGUUUUUGGAGAUAUACAGCUACUUAGCUAGCUAUAUGAUGCAGUUUCAAUAUCAUAGUGUGGCAAUCCAAUGUUUUUUGGGUAAUACAUCUUCCAGCAGUCGAGAACGUGCAGAAAAAUGAGAAAUUGAUUCAACCUACCAAAUUGAUUUGAGUAUUAAGGUAAAACAGUUGUAUAUUUGUUUUACUUUAUUUUUCACACUAAUCCAAUGGAACAAAGAGUGUGUUUAACAAUUAUUUGCUACAAAAAUAUUUGCUUGUAUCAUAAAAACAUUUUUCAACAUACUUUUAUUUUUUCAACUACUUUUUAUUUGAUAUACAUUAUAUCACAAAAAGUACUACAGUAAUUAUUUUAAAUAAUUUCUUAUACAAACACAUUUGAAAACAUGUUCAAAUGUGUUUGGUUGUGUUGUUCUUAUAAAGAAAAGGGUAAAUAACACUAACUUUCUUUCUAAUUUUUUGAAGUGGCUAAAUCCCUACCCCUCCAUACGAAAUCCACACCUAUGCGCUUCUUGGACAAAAAUGGCCUUAGCUUUUAAGUUUAUUUGAUGCUUUUUUUUUAAUAUAGUUUUAAGAAACAUAUAUUUACAUAGCAAAAAAAGGAAAAAAAAAUGUUUGCAUUGUAAUAGGGAAUAUUUUGAAAGCACGUUCAAAUGUGUUUGGUUGUGUUGUUCAUAUAAAGAAAAGGGUAAAUAACACUAACUUUCUUUCUAAUUUUUGGGAGUGCCUAAAUACACACCCCUCCAUACUAAAUCCACAUCCUAUGCACUUAUUGGACAAAAAAUGGCCUUAGCUUUUUAGUUUUAAGUUUAUUUGAUGCUUUUUUAAUAGUUUUAAGAAACAUAUAUUUACAUUGCAAAAAAGGGGAAUAACAAAUGUUUGCAUUGUAAUAGGGAAUAUUUUCAAACAUUUUACAAGUGUGUGAGAAUAUUAAUUUAUAAUUUCAAAUUUAAUCUAGCUAUCAAAAAUUUUCAAUUACUAAUAAUGAUGUAAAUAGCAAUGUCUACAUAUUUCAAUUCGAUAAAAUCAAAAUCUAAGCAAUUUUCAAGGUGGAAUAUGCCUUCAUAUUGACUACAUACUAAUAUCUAUCAUUUGGUUAUGUGUAAAUGUUAAAAAAAAAAGGUUUAACAAACGAAAGGUAGUAAAUCAUAUAACUUUAGAGAAAGAUAAAUUUUGAAAUGAAACAAGCAAGAAAAAUGAAUUUGUAUAUAAAACUUACAUAAAGAUCAUGGUGUGAAUUUUUUGCUCUAGAAAAGAUAUUAUUAUAUAAAGUUUUAAUUUGAUUUUUAAAAGCUAAGGGUAUCAAUGUCUAACAAAUGUAUAGGGUAUGGAUUUAGCAGAGGAAUGUGGAUUUAACCCUUCUCUUUUUAAAAAAGUCAGGAAUCUCCUCUCUUAAUUUCAUAAUAGUAAAGACCUUCCUUCCAUGUGUUCUUCAUCCAUAAUCGUUACUGAUAAAUGCAAGUGGACAAAUUUACCCUUGGUUUUAUUUUUCUCUUUGUUUCAUUUUCUAAAUUCCUUAGUUCUUCUUUAUUACUUUUUUCUUUGGGCCUUUGGCUAUCUUUCCUAUUUUUCAGUUUCUUAAAACAUCCAUGCCUCUCAUUCUUUGUAGCACAUUGUAGAACCUGACUUGCAUAAUAGUUGAUUAUUGUAUGGGAAAGGCAUCGCCGAACAUGAGACAUAGUAGACCAUGAUAGUUAGCAAGGCUAAAAUACGAUGAACUAAUACAAAACUUUCCUCUAAUUAAUUGGAACAAUUGGUUGCUUAUAAUUUUUUUUUUUUUUUUUCAACAACUUCGUAUCACUUUUAUUAAUAGAAACAAAUUUUACAAACGGAAAAAGACCAUUUCAAAGUACAACAGACAACACUAAAGACAAUAAAUCAAAGACAAACCUCCUUGCCCCAUUUCAUAGCCAACAAACAAUUGGUUGCUUAUAAUUAUUCUAGCAGAACUUUUCUACAACUGAUAUUAUCUAAGAGGAGGUGGCAUGGGUAAAUUUUGUGCAGCGCUUCUUACAUAAAUCUACAUGUAUUUGCUUAAACAUAAAUUUAUAUGUUUUGGUCUAAUUUCACUCAACACUCAAGAUAAAAUGCAACUGAUAAUUCAAAAUAUUUGUUAAAGAUAAAAUGUAAGUAUUUCUUAUCGUGCUAUCCACAAAAAGGCCAUUUUAGGAAAUAUAUGGAGAUAUUUGCUGAAUGUGUAUCGACUCCAAUAGAAAGUUAACAAAAGGGGUGGUUUAUGAUUUUGUCUAACAAACUAGGGGAAGGUUUCUAUUAUUUUUAAAUUAAGUAGGGGUUUUUUAGUUUUUUAGCAGAAUUGGUGGGAGGUUGGUGUAAUUUUCCCUAAAGAAAACUAAGGGGCUGCUUGGUUAAAGGGUUUGGGAAUCACAAAAUGGAAUAAACCCCUUAUUUGUUGCUUGGGUUAAGCCUAUUGGAAUGCCAUUUUUGGAAUCAUUUCUAAAAAAUCAUUUCUGAGCAAAUUGGGAGGUUUUGGACAAAACCCUCAACUCAUUCCCUUAGACAAUAUUUAUCACGGAUCUACCCUCUCUUUCCUCUCCAUCACACGCUGCACAAAACCAGAGUCUUCUUCUUCAUCAGUUUUUCUAUCUCUUCUUCUUCAAUCAAUCGCCACCCAUCACCUUCAUCGGACAUCUUCUUUCUCAUUUCAAAGUCCCAAAUUCAGGUUCACCAAUAGUAGCAAUAGCUUUCCAAAAUUUGAAAGCCUAAACGAGAAAUUAGACCAUGUAGUAGAUGAUUUGCUUGAAAAGGUUGAAGCUUCCAAGGUGGAAAUUAGAGAAGAGAAGAUUUUAUUGAUUGGGCAAAACAUUCCUUAGAACCAAACAAUGUCAUGAGUAGUGAAGUUCUGGUGAAAUUUUUUGAUUGUGUUCUGGUAAAUCUGAAGGAUCUGCUUAAGUUUGAAAACAAUUUGAUUCUGUCUUUGAAGGAACAAAUCUCAACCCUUGAAGUGAAUCUACGAUUCUUGAAAAACUUUGUCAUCUUCACAAAUAGGCUAUGCAGUGGGUAUGUGAAUAUCGGACUGUUUUUUACUUCUAUUGAAGAUGCUGUAAAUAAUGGUAUUUCGUUCUGGUGUUGGGUGGGAUGGAAGAAAUAGGGAGUCAAAAGUUGAUAGUGAUAGAGACAACGACAUUGUAACCCUUCAUUCUAAAGCCAUAAAGAGCUGGUGUUUUAUGGAAAAAUAGAUACUCUGUUCUUAUAAAGGAGAAAAGCCAUAAAGAGUUGGUCUUUUAUGGAAAAAUAUGACUAUUGUGAAAGUGACCGCGAUUUGGUUUAUGAAAUUAUCCCAAAAAAAAUUUAGAAUGAAUUUGUUUGUUUUAAAAGUUGUAUAACAGUCGUUAAACUUCAAAUAUAGGACUAUUUUUUACUUCUAUUGAAGAUGCUGCAAAUAAUGGUAUUUCGUUCUGGUGUUGGUUGGGAUGGAAGAAAUAGGGAGUCAAAAGUUGAUAGUGAUAGAGACAGCGACAUUUUAACCCUUCAUUCUAAAGCCAUAAAGAGCUGGUGUUUUAUGGGAAAAUAGGUAAUCUGUUCUUAUAAAGGAGAAAAACCAUAAAGAACUGGUCUUUUAUGAAAAAAUAUGACUAUUGUGAAAGUGACUGCGAUUUGGUUUAUGAAAUUAUGCCAAAAAAAAUUUAGAAUGAAUUUGUUUGUUUUGAAAGUUGUAUAACGGUCGUUAAACUUCAAAUAUCCCUUCCUUAAACUUCAAAAUCUACAAAAUCUCAUAUUUUUGUUAAAUACAAAACCUACCAGUUUCUGCAAUUAUCCCUUUGUUUUAUAAGAAUUGUUAUAUCAGGGGUAAAUUUGAAAUUUAAUUGCAUUUAAUUCCGAAACACUCGUCAAACCAUGCAUCAGAAAUUGGAAUGAUGCUAAUUCCAAUGUGUGAACCAAGCUAGAUAUUGGAAUGAAAAGUUUAAUUCCAAAACCAGAGUCUAUGAUUCCAUUUCCAUUUUCGAUUCCAAUAUGUGAAACAAGCACCCCCUAAGUGACGUAACAACGAUAGUUUAAUCAGAUUUUUUUUUUAAAAAAAGAACAAGAAAACAUUACAGUUGAUAUUGUGGUAGGCGGUUCAUGAUUGGUUUCUUUUUAGCUUCAUAUGAGGCUACUGCUACUUUAAUGUCUUCGGUUGGAUAUAUGCAAAUGGUUAUCUGUAGGAAAGGUCUGUUUCCAGUUGAAUUAAUUUUAUGUUCAAUUUACUUUAUUUUUCGUAGUUUUUGUGCAAUUAACUAUCCUUAAUUUAUCAUCAUCAUCCAAAGCUUCUGUUAUCUUUAAUAAUCUUGCUGAUGUAGACAAAACUGAUUAGAGGUGCAAUGAUGAUAUUGACAUUUGCUUACAUCCAAAUUUCUAUUUAUUAUGGUGCCAAUUCUUGUGGAGCACGCUUCUGCACAAUGAAUCCAUUUGAUUAUUUUUACCGACAAAACCGUACUAGAAAAUGGCGAUCCAUAAAAAAAACACUAAUAGUAAGAUCAGGUAGAACAAGUUGAUAAUCAAAAGAAAUUACUGAAUAAUUGAAUAAAAUUGAUAUGACUGCGAUGGAUGGUUCAAUACUGAAUAAACGAGCAUCAUCCCUAGAUGGAAGAAGGUUCUCUUUGAAAAGUAAUUUUGUACCAUCCGCUAGAGUUAAAAAAAUUCCUAAAGCGUUAUCUCUAGAGGCUAGGCUUUGUAUCAUGUAUUAUCCAUAUCAUUUAACAUCAAAAUAAAUAAAAAAAAUGAUCUGGAACUACAAUUUGGAAGUUCAAUAGGUUCACUAUUUAAAAAAUAAUCAUGAAAAUUUUUUGUUUCGUUAUCAAUGUGUUAAGAGUUUUUAGAGACAUUACUUAAAUAGUCAUGAAAUUUUUGGUGUCAUUAUCAAACCCUGUCCUUUCUCGUAUUGGCUUGAAAAUCUUGGAGUAUCUCAUAAAUCAACCAAAAGAAGAAGAAAAAGAGUUAGAGUUUGUGAAUUGAACUUUGCAGAUUAAUUUAACUUGUUUUAAGCUAGUUUUAUUUGUGAUGGAGAGUUCCUUUCGCUGUAGUCAAAAUUUUCCCUUGCCUUCGUUUUGCGAUUUCAAACUUUAUUCUAGCCUUUGGUACUAAAGAAAAUUGCCAAACUCUUUAAGUAACUUUCACUUCAGAAACCAAAAAAAAAAAAAAAAAACUUUGGACCCUUAAAACGUAGAUAUGCUCCCACGUUAGUCCUUAAAUUUUAAAUACUGUAUCCUAUAAAGUAUCAAAUUUAUCCCACUUUGAAACAUUUAUUAGUAGAAUCAUUAAAAAUAAUGUAAUAUUAGGCAAGUAACGCUUGACGUAGAACAAAAUAUUCCACUAAUUUUGAAAAUUGUGUAAAUGGUCGAUUGAAGUAGGGCAAAUUUGAAACUCUAUUAGAGGUAAAGAGUCCAAGAAUGAACUUUAGCAACUAAAGUGGAAGGUGAUAGGGUAUAAUUUGUUAUUAAUUUUAUGGUUAAUUUUCCUCUUUGUCCUUGCCAAAUAUUGUUUUAAUUAUCGAAAUAUACUUAUAUUUGGUAUUUUGACCUAAUUACAGGUAGUGGAGCAGAAAAGUACUAAAAAGGAUGACUUUCUUGAGAAAAUCCCGUGCACGUGGGAAGCCUAGAGAAUCCUUGCAAAUCUGGCUCCAAGAUGUGCUAAACCAACGCCUUUCCUUUCGUGACUAGUAGUUUACUAGCAUUAGAAAACAAGAAAGAAGGAAACUUCAGUAGUUGCCUUAUCUCUUUGUUUUCCUUAUUUGGUGGAAAAACCGACAAGAUGAGAGACUAGUCAUUGUUUAGAUUGAGAAGACUUGUUUUGGGGUCUUAGUAGUUUUCUUCUCCUAUUAGGUAUCUAUCAUGUGCGCCGCAAAGGCCAUAGCAGGGAACAUUUAAUUAUCCCUUUGGCUUGGUAGUUCGAGAGAUAAUUCUUAUUCCAUCGAGUUUUCUUCCUUCGAAUUUGGAGAAGAAUGCCGUCAACUAAUAUUUCUGAGUUUUCGCAUGGAUUGUUCUCCAUUGAUGGAGAAAUAGCUUCUUAUUUCUAGUCAAGGGGGCAACUAAUGAUUUGGUUCGGCAAUCAUUGUGAGAUCUAAACCAUUUUUAAUUGUUUCCUUCAUUUAUUGGUAUUUAUAUGUUUCCUGCUUUUAAUUGUUAUAACUCUUGUGUAUGAUUAAUUAGUGCGCAAUAAUUGAUUAUUCAUUUAGGCUAUUUUGCUAAUUAGGGGUAAUUGAAUCCGUAAUUGUUCAAUUAUCUCUGUAGCAACUAGCGUAAUUGGGUUUAUGUCAGGGAAACGUACGAUCUAACUUAAACAAACCCUCGUAGCGUGUUUGUUAGUUAGGAUUGGGCAUUUCUAAUUAUUAAUGCAAUCUAGAAAUUAAAUCCUACGGUCGUAUCUAGGGUUAUUUUUGAGUUAGAAAAAUAGUUAACGGUCGUACCUUAACUAUCGAGAAAUUAAGGAAGGGUUGGUUGUUUAUCGCGUGCAUGACAACUAUAACCAAUCUAUUAAUAAAUGUUGGAAUUAUCUGUGAAUCGAUGAUGAGUGCAUGAACCAUUUCUGAAGUGUACCCUUGGCUAGAGUUCUCCUAAUUAUUUCUUUUAAUUAAUUAUUUUCUGCAGUUAAAUUAUUUAGUUAGCUUUUAAUUCCCAAACCUCCCAUUUAUUUUGACUCGAAAGGAAUUAAAUUUCUCCCCAGUCCUUGAGGUGAUGACCCUACUUGUCACUGUCUACUAAUUAGUGAAUUCAGUCAAAUAAUUAAAUCUGGUAUAUCGGAUUAAACAAACUCUUCGGGAAUAGGGUAAAUCAAGUAACUCAUUGCACAACUAGAGUCCCUGCUCCAGUACUGGAAUUGAUUAUUGACUGCUUUAGGUGGUAGUUAGGUUUUAUUUAUUAUUAUUGUAUAGGUUCGGCACCUGCCAAUUUUUGGCGCCGCUGCCGGGGACUGGUGCCUGAUUAAUUUGUUUCUUUUUGAGUUCAUAUUGUUUUUAUUUUUUUUUAUUUUUCUCUUAUUUUUUUUAAUAGUUUAUGGCUGCUAACAUUCCGUAUUUUGGUGAUAGACUGGAUUUUAUUUCUAGAAGGGGUUAUGAGACUCGUGUUUUUUCUAAUGAUCUAUAGGCUGUUGCAAAUUGUGGAACUUAUUUUGCCUCAGAUCAUUCAAUCGACAUGUGCCAUACAUUUCAAGAUGGUCUAAGUGCUUCAAUCGAUACUUUUGAAGAUUUUUCAUCUCAAUAUCAAACGUGGCAUGAUCCUUAUUCAAACGGGUAUGAGCAAGGAUGGUGGGAUGAUUCCACUUUUAAUUAUGAACAAAGGCCAAUAGAUUUCAACAGUUAGAGUCUCAAGAGCCGUCAUCCAUGUCAGGUAUGUUUCUUGAAGAAAUAGUUGAAUUAAUAUAGGGGUGAGCAUUCGGUGCAUAUUCGGUAAUUCGGUGCACUGAAUUCGGUGAAUUCGGUUAUUCUACCUGUAAAAUUUUAAACCGUUUUCAAUUCCGAAUUGGGCAUAACCGAAUUCAUUCCGAAACCGAUUUCAAAUUUGAAAACGGUAAUGAAUUCGGUUUAACCGAAUUCAUCUAUUUAAAAAAUAAAAAAAAAGCCUGUUAUCCGCUUAAGUUUGCAACGCUGCUUCCGUACAAUUUACAGGCUAUGAGGCUAAUUGCAAACUAAUUCUAAUUGCAAACUUACAGGCUACAAGCCUACAACACCAAUUCAAAGGAAAUCAACAUCCAAAUUAUUACACACCUUACAAAUGCCAAAAUCCAUCAAAUACAAAUCUGGAGUACCAAGUACCAACUGCCAAUAGACAAUACAACGACAAGUUCUUCAAAGUAACACUAACAGACAUUUUUCAAGUUCACAUUUCACAAGUCACAAUGAACUGAAUGCAGAAACCAGAAAUCAGAAAUCAAAAUCUGAAAACUGACUGCAACAUAAUUUAGUUCCAGACUUCUAUUAUCUUUAAAGAGUGAUUGAAGUUUCAGCACCUCCAUUAGUCAAGCCUGCAACAAAACAUAAAAAUGAAAUAUAGUAGUUACUUUAAAACAAUAGAGAAAUGAAAUUUUACAAUAAUCAGCAUAUACAAUAGAUAAGAAAUAUGUUACCAGAUUCUAAAGCUUCAAGAUCCUCCAAUUCUUCUUCCACAUUCAAUUUAGAAUCCGAUGGCCGAAGCCAAUCUUGAGUGCAAAUCAGAGCUUGCACUAUUUUAGGAGUUAAAGAACUCCUAAAUGGAUCAAGGACUCUUCCACCCGUGCUAAAAGCAGCUUCGGAAGCAACUGUGGAUACCGGCACAGCCAACACAUCACGAGCUAGUUUAGAGAGAACAGGGAAUCUAGGACUAUUCACCUUCCACCAUGUCAAAAUGUUGAAGUCAUCUUCUUCAUCUUCACAGUCCUCACCAAGAUAUUUAUCCAAUUCAGUUUUUGAAUCCUUGCCCCCAGCUUCUAUUUUUCUCUUUUGAAACUCCUCUUUGUACUUGUGUUGGAUACGUUUUCCAGCAUCCAUAUCACCAGCCAUUGCACCUUUAUCUACUGCUCCAGAUUUACUCGAAGAAGCUGAGGCAUUGACUUCAGGAGGGGAGCUGAGUUUUUUGUACUCAGAAAACAGUUGCACUAAAGCUUCUUUUGCAAAUGAAGCUAUGUUUGCACCAUCAUACGGACAAUACAUUUUCAUAAGUACAAACUCCACAUACUCAAAUUUAAUACGUGGAUCAAGAAUGGGGGCAACAAAAAUAAGCAUAUUCAUUUUUUCUAUUUGUCCCCAAUACUUAUCAUACUUUUCUUUCAUUCCGAAUGCCAUGUGAGCCAUUUCUUGGUUAUCACUUUCCAUCAUGUUGUUCAAGACUGCAUUCAUGCCACUAAUGUCUUGAAAAAAGGUAUUGCAAGUGACAUACUUAGACCCAGAGACCUUCAAAGUCAAUUCAUAAAAAUUUUCUAAAAACUGAAUAAGAUAUCUUGCUUUCCUCCAAUCAGUUGAUGUUGGUACAGACUCAAGUUCUUUAAUCAUGUAAGGAUCCUCUAGUGCGAACCUAUCAAAAGCUCGCUCAUAUAAUUGAGCUACAUCCAACAUCAAAUAGAUGGAAUUCCACCUAGUAGGACAAUCCAAACACAACAAUUUCUGUGAUUCUAUUUUUUCAGCUGUAGCACACUCUCUAAACCUUUUCAACCUAGCAGGUGAUUGUCUUACAUACCUCACAGCUGCACGAAUAGAAUCAAUAGAGUUUCCAAACUUUUUCAAACCAUCAUUAACCACCAAAUUUAUUAUAUGAGCAACACACCUAACAUGAAGCCACUUUCCCUCCAAAACAGAUUAUAACCUUUUUUUUUAAAUUCCAGUCAUUAUCAAUAAAAUGAGCUGUAAGGCACAUAUAAUUAAUUCUUUGAAUUGAAGUCCAAGAAUCUGUUGUGAGACAGAUUCUACUAGAAUUGUGCCUAAGCAACUUUUUCAAUCUUGUUCUUUCAUCCAAAUAAAGUUGAUAACAAUCCCUAGAGACCGUCCAUCUAGAAGGCAUUCUAAAUUGAGGACAAGCAGCACGCAUCACUUCUUUAAAUCCAAUGCCUUCAACAUGUUUAAAAGGCAACUCAUCGACAAUCACCAUAUAAGCAAUUUUCUUCCUAAUUAUCUCAGCAUCAAAUUUCCAUGAUAAAAGUCCAGCCUUGGUUUCCCCAUCCCCUGUUUCAGUUUCCCCAAAACACAAUGUAGCUUGAUUAGUGUAUUUGUUGUUAGGAUUCUUAGGACAUCUGGUUAUAUGAUUUCUCAAACCAGUUGUACCAUUAGUCCUACCAUCAGCAGCUAUGCGUUUCUCGCAAAAAAGGCAUUCACCAUAUCUAAUCUUACCCUCAACAACUUCUUUGAAGUGUGACCAAACUGUAGAUCUUUUCUUGUAUGGACCUCGCUUCUUUGGCUCUUUUCCUCCUGAAUCUGCCGAGCUAGGAGCUGGAGCUGGAGCUGGAGUAGGACUUUCAGCUGACCAAUCUGGUGAUGUCAUGACUUGAUUGGGAUUGUUAGUACUUCCAGUAGACAUGACUGCAAUAAUUUGGAGAAUAAUGCAAAAAAUCAUGUCAAUUGCAAAAUCUCAGCUUUAUGCGUAAAAAAAAAAGACUCAGUAUUAACUUCACCAUAAAAAAUAGAUUCAGCUUUAUGCAAAAUGUUGUAGGCCGAUAUAAUAUUCAAGGCAAGAAUAGACUAGUUUCAAAGAAGCACAAGUGCAUAACUUCAUCCAGAAUGUUGGCAAGACCCAUUAAUUAAGAGAAUCUCCAAGGACAAGGAGGUAAAAUUUUCAUUUUAGCAAGUUUUUUUCUUUUUAAUUUUUCUAACGGGUAAAAGGUGGAAUUUUUCCCCAAGGUCUUAACUUUUAAAGUCGAUCUUGGCCAUUUUACUGCCAGAGAUGAGCACUUACCUAAGCGAGCCAGAGAUGAGCAGUGAUUGGUGCUUCGGCUUUGGCACUCAGCAGCGAUGAACCAGCACGGCAGGGAUGAACUGGUGAAGUGAGAAAUUCGGUCGAAUGAGGACUGAGAUGGAGACAGGAGAGACGUAGAGUGCGGCGGAGAGCAGCUUCGAUUUGGGAAUUGGGACUUGGGAGUGAAGUUGUGAAAGCCCUAAGUGAAGCCGUGAAGGCACUACCGCACUAGGCAGUGAUUGUUCUGAUUAUCAGCUGAAAUCUGACUUUUCCCAAAUUCAUCCGCAGUGAUUGUGUAAUUUUUAAUUUACAAAUUGGGGCUCCUAAAUUAUAAUACAUUCAUUAUGCUCCUCAAUGAUUUAUAAAUUAUUACUAAUUUGAUCCCCAAAUUUAUUCAUAAUUGAACACAUUACUUAUGUUCUAAUCAUUUUGUGGUUUAAUUGGCAUUUAUUUGAUCACUUAUACCUAGAAUCCUUAGUCUAUGAUUUAAGAAAUACAUAAAAAGUGAUUAACUUAAACUAGAAUAAACCUUAGACUUAGACUAUACAAUGAUUGGUGAUAAUUUAUGAAUUUAUAAUUUACAAUGACUAAUAAUAAGCAAUAUUAAUUAGUAGUUACAAUGAAUUUAUAAUUUACACUGAUUAAUAAUAAGUACUAUUAGUUACAAACUUACAAAUUACAAUGACUAGUGAUAACUUAUAUUAGUUACAAACUUAUAAUUUAUUUCAAAUCAAAAUAAAAACUUAUUUACUUACACAUGUUAUUGUGAAAGUCAAUACACUAGUACAUUGAUUUGCAAUUCAUAUGCAUUCACUUACACUGCUAACUACUUAGCUGUCUUAUCUAUACUUAAAGUCUUAAGAAUUAAGAUUAGUGAAUAGAUAAUAUGAAUUUUUAAGUUAAAUAUGUAGAGUGCACUAAUACUUGCAAGUUAGAGAUUACGCAUUCAAAUAUUCAAUAAUUCAAACAUGAAUGAUGUAUCAAAUUACCAAUAUCUAAAUUUAAUUACUAAUUAUGUUUAUUGUUUAAUAUUUAGUAUUAUGCAAUAUGCAUAUAUGACAUAUGUGUUAAUUAUUAUCUAAUUCUAGUCAUGUUACUCAUGUAUAAAAUAAUAAGUAUUAUAGUUAUCUUAUAUUGUUAUGUAUUACUAUAUAUUUGUAUUAUUAUAGUCAUAUAACAAUUAACAAAUACUAAAAUAAUAUAUUGUACAUUAUUAUAUAUUAUUAUUAUUAUAAGUACAUGAUAUGAUGAUAAAUUGAUAAUACCAUAUACUAAUUAUUAUUAAUAGCAUUUACCUAUAUAAUAUAAUAAAGUAUUAGUAGUAUAUACUAAUACUAAAUAGCAUUUAUCUAUAUAUUAUAUAAUUUUAUAUGCCAAUUUGGUAAUUCGAAUGUGGUAAUGCGGUACCCGAUUUCAAUUACCGAAUUGGAAUGCGAAAUCGGUUAUUACCUAAUUCAUAAUCUCAUUACCUAUUUCAUACCAUAUUAGAAUUCGGUGAAUUUGGUACGUACCGAAUUUGUACCAAAUUACCAAAUUUUUGAUUUCAAAUUACCGAAUUGAAUUUGAAAUCGGUUAUGAAUUCGGUAAGAACCGAAUAUACUCACCCCUAGCUACUAACAUAUAUCAAAUUCAACAGGGGACAUAUCAACUUCAACAGGAGACACAUCAAUUUCAACAGGAGACACAAAGGUUGAUUAAAGAGAUGGAAGAUGGAAGGCGUGAAUUGGCAUCUACAAUGAGCAAAUUGAUUUCUCCAUUUUAUGAAGAAUUACCCUUACAGACCAACAUCGAUUUUAAAGAAGAUAAGAAUAUAAUUAUCCUGACAAGUGACAUGGAACUGCAAGAGUCUCAAGAAGAAGAAUCUAAAGAUGCAGUUGAAAAGGAAAUUGAAGUACAAGAAAUGGAACUCCAAUAUCAAAUUGUUCAAGUGGAUGAAUCUAGUGAACAAUCUCCAAAUGUGGUGACAUCUCCUCCAUUCCUUAAUCAAUAUUCUUCUGACUUUUAUUCUUUAAUUUCUAUUGGUGAGAUUGAUUUUAUUAUGCCAGAAAAUUUUGAGUUUCAUGACAGGAAUAAGUUAAGAGUUGCAAUGGUAAAAUAUCUCGAACCAAUAAGUGCUCAUGAUGGAGGAGUGAGUGAAGAAUUAAGGUCACUAUUUGUUUGUUUGGCGCCAUCUACUAAUCCAUGGAAGACCAUAUCUCGUGGGUUCAAGGAUUACUCUAUUUACGAGGGAUAUCAGGACUACAUAGAAGAUGAAACACUGAAACGAGCUGCACGGUUUUAUCCUCCAUGAAUAAACAUGGUAAUAUAUAGUCAAAGACAUUAAAGAAAGGCGCUGCUUAGGAGGCAACCUAAGGCCUUUGUUUUAGUUUCCUUGUGUUUUUGGAGUUUUUGUUAAGUAUUGGUUGCAUUUAGUGAUUUGUUAUUUUUGUGGCAGGAAGCUGGUAGUUGGGCGUGCCCGCGUCUAGUAUGCACGCCUAAGGAAUGCAAAUAUUUUUCUGCAGUCAGAAGACUCUCCAAUAGUUAGACAUACCCACGUCAAGUGGUCACGCCUAAGGAACUCAAUUUUUGAAAAUUGGUCAGAAAACUCUCUAGUAGUUAGGCGUGCCCACAUGCCCACACCAAGUGGUCACGCUUAAGGAUCUUAAUUUCGGACGGUUGGUCAGAAGAUUCGAAGGCAGUUAGGCGUGCCCACGCCUAACACAUGAGUUCCUUUAUUCAAAAAAAAAAAACCCAUGGUUCUACUUCUUUCUUCUCUUUUUCUUUCUUUCUUUCCCUUUUCCCCCCCUUUCCCGCUGCUGCCUUUGCCCGCUUUGUUGUCCGCCACUGCUCCGUCGCCACCGCACCGAGCACCUUUCCAGCUCGCUCCAGCCGCCGUCUUCGUUCAACCUCCGCUACUAGCCAUUGUUCACCGCCCGCGCUCUCCCUCUCGUCAGUCCCUCACUGCUUGUUCUCAUCUCUGCUCAAACAAAGGAUAAGAGGAAGAACCGACCAAUGUUACGUAUGCCAUAGCUGCUCGGGACCCUCCAUUACGUGCUCAGGGAAGUUUCAUUGUCCCUUUUGUUUCGUAUUAUAUUCUUUAUCUCUUACAUUGGCGACAACAUAAGAUUUAGGUGUGGGAGGAGUAGUAUAUUGGUAUUUUAUUGAAAAAGUGCAAGUGUAGGCAUUUUUGUUGGAAUUUUUUGUUUGACUUAGUUGAAUUUUAUCCAAUUUUUGCUUAUUUUUGUGCAUAUUUAUGAUUGUUCCUGAUAAACGAUGGUUAGAUUUCUCAAAUUUUUCUAUUGUUAAGAUUUUACAUUUUAAGGUGUUAAGUAUGACAUGGUUAAGUUUAAGGGUAUCUUUUUGGUGAAUAUUUGAGAUUUUGUGACUUUUACACUUUUUGGUUAAUUUCUCUAAGUAUUGUAAAUAUUUGCUUAGUAUUUUUUGUGUAAAUUGGUUCAACUAUUAAUCUUAGUUCUCCAUGUUUAAGAAAUGAAGCGGAUUUUGUGUGAUUUUUAAUUUUAAUUUGGUGCUUAUUUAUGAAUAGUAUUUGACUAUACUCCACUAGUAUUGUUACCUAGUAACCGGAGAUCUUCAUCACAAGUGUCGAUUUUCGAGUCAAAAAGCGACGAUAGCUAUGAGUAUGUGAUUUUUAAGCGAUGAUGGCCGAGUAACCGGGCUCCUUCAUUUGGCCAAUGUCGGAGUUUGCGUCAAAACGCUUAAAUGGCUAAAAACUAGGCAUUCCCCCUGAAAAAAAAAGCAAUCAAGUGUGGGGAUAUUUUAGGAAAAAAUGUGCUAAUAGUGAAAAAUAUGGAAGUGUUUGAAUGAAUUAUUAGCCCGCUGAUUCAUGAAUUUUAAUGUUGAGAUUUUGCUGAAUAGUUGAACCAUUUACUUAUAGAUGCUGGCUGAAUAUUUUAUAUUAUUAGAUUAGUUAGUUAUAAAUUGAAAGAGUUCUUGAUCUUGAAAACUAGCUGGAGAGAUAUUUCUUGAAAAUUGUUACUAAUACUUGACAUAUGUUUUAAUUGUAUCUUGACAAUAGAAAAUUUGAGUAAUAGCCAUUGUUUGAAUUUGAUUGCUUAAUUUGUUAUUCUCAUGCUUGAGGACAAGCAUGGUUUAGGUGUGAGGGGAAUUGAUAGGGUAUAAUUUGUUAUUAAUUUUAUGGUUAAUUUUCCUCUUUGUCCUUGUCAAAUAUUGUUUUAAUUGUCGAAAUAUACUUAUAUUUGGUAUUUGGACCUAAUUACAGGUAGUGGAGCAGAAAAGUACUAAAAAGGAUGACUUUUUUGAGAAAAUCCCGUGCACGUGGGAAGCCUUGAGAAUCCUUGCAAAUCCGGCUCCAAGAUGUGCUAAACCAACGCCUUUCCUUUCGUGACUAGUAGUCUACUAGCAUUAGGAAACAAGAAAGAAGGAAACUUCAGUAGUUGCCUUAUCUCUUUGUUUUCCUUAUUUGGUGGAAAAAUCGACAAGAUGAGAGACUAGUCAUUGUUUAGAUUGAGAAGACUUGUUUUGGGGUCUUAGUAGUUUUCUUCUCCUAUUAGGUAUCUAUCAUGUGCGCCGCAAAGGCCAUAGCAGGGAACAUUUAAUUAUCCCUUUGGUUUGGUAGUUCGAGAGAUAAUUCUUAUUCCAUCAAGUUUUCUUCCUUCGAAUUUGGAGAAGAAUGCCGUCAACUAAUAUUUCUGAAUUUUUGCAUGGAUUGUUCUCUAUUGAUGGAGAAAUAACUUCUUAUUUCUAGUCAAGGGGGCAACUAAUGAUUUGGUUCGGCAAUCAGUGUGAGAUCUAAACCAAUUUUAAUUGUUUUCUUCACUUAUUGGUAUUUAUAUAUUUCCUGCUUUUAAUUGUUAUAGCUCUUGUGUAUGAUUGAUUAGUGCGCAAUAAUUGAUUAUUCAUAUAGGCUAUUUUGCUAAUUAGGGGUAAUUGAAUCCGUAAUUGUUCAAUUAUCUCUGUCCCAGUAGCAACUGGCGUAAUUGGGUUUAUGUCAGGGAAACGUACGAUCUAAUUUAAACAAACCCUCGUAGCGUGUUUGUUAGUUAGGAUUGGGCCUUACUAAUUAUUAAUGCAAUCUAGAAAUUAAAUCCUACGGUCGUAUCUAGGGUUGUUUUUGGGUUAGAGAAAUAGUUAACGGUCGUACCUUAACUAUCUAGAAAUUAAGAAAGGGUUGGUUGUUUAUCGCGUGCAUGACAACUAUAACCAAUCUAUUAAUAAAUGUUAGAAUUAUCUGUGAAUCGAUGAUCAGUGCAUGAACCAUUUCUGAAGUGUACCCUUGGCUAGAGUUCUCCUAAUUAUUUCUUUUAAUUAAUUAUUUUUUACAGUUAAAUUAUUUAGUUAGCUUUUAAUUUCCAAACCCCUCAUUUAUCUUGACUCGAAAGGAAUUAAAUUUCUCCCCAAUCCCUGAGGAGACGACCCUACUUGCCACUGUCUACUAAUUAGUGAAUUCAGUCAAAUAAUUAAGUCUGGUAUAUCGGAUUAAGCAAACUCUUCCGGAACAGGGUGAAUCAAAUAGCCCAUUGCACACCUAGAGUCCCUGCUCCAGUACUGGAAUUGAUUAUUGACUGCUUUAGGUGGUAGUUAGGUUUUAUUUAUUAUUAUUGCACAGGUUCGGUACCUAUCAGGAGGUGUCUAUAGUUUAGGAGACUAAAAUGUAAUUUAGCCAAACUAUUUGGCAGGCCGUCGUAUUGAUGCGUAAAGAGUCUUCUUUGAUGCGUAAAAUGGAGACGACCACUCCUGAACGGUCUCCUCACUAUAAAAAACGUGAGGAGACAAAUGAGCCCAGUCAGCAAGGCUGAAGCAGGGCAAAAAAAUGACGCCGUUCCAAAUAAAAAAAUGUUGACUUCCAAACGGGAGUAGACGGAGCAAACGGAAGAGAAGUAGAUUUUGAAAUUCAAGUUGAAAUUUUGAAUUAGCCGAAGAAAAGAAAACUGAGGGAAGAGUCUUGGCGUGCUUCUGAAGGUAAUCUUCUCUGACCGACUGCUCACUAAAGGUAGAAAGCUGAAGUUCAGGUGGGAUUCAGCCUACAGGGUGUUUCUAGGUGAAGUGGGUGUAGUCUACUCUGAUGAAGGUAGCAAUUGACAGAAAAGUGGGUGGAGAGGUAGGCGGCAAGGUAGAAGCAAACAGAGACGAAGCCAAAAUUUGUUCGUAAAACUGAAUAGCAGAAGUAGCUGUGGUCUGCAACUGGGUAUAAGAGUGUUGUAUCUAUUUUGAAUGCAUGCAAGAGCGGCGAUAAGGUAGAAGCAAACAGAGAAAAUUCAGCAUCUCACGAAACCAGAUUUUGUCUUUCAACUUAAUAGCAGAAGCAACUACGUCUCCGACUUCGAUGAAACGUGAAGCGUACUAGCAGACCAAGGUAACAUGACUGAACCAUGUCAGUAACUGUGGCCAAUAAUUUGUCACCCAAAUGCACAUCUGUUAAAUGAAGGAUGAAAUUAGAGUCACUGAAGACAUAAUAUGAAGAUGAUAGAAGAAUAGUAAAGUUGUACUAUAUUUGUAUGUGUGUACCGUAUCUGUGUGUGUGUGAACAUUCAGCUUUUCAGUGAUGGACUAUAAUGGGAUAGUAGUUUUUGGAAGACAUGGGUUUAUGUAUUCAAGUAAACCGUCGAACGGAAUUAGGGAAAGAUGAGAGAAACAAAGUCACAUUUAACAAGUGAAUGAAUGUACAUCGUGUUGUAAAUUAAUUACAUGUUAUAGCCACCGUAUCACAAUUGAUAUGAACCAUUGUGAAUCUAGUAAUUGGUCCAUGCUCAUGGAGCAAUAUUAAUUUGCCACUCUCCUGACCAUGCAGUGUGUAUAAAAUGGAGGUGUAGAGUUGAAUGAGGUGAAGCAGAGGAAAAGACAUACAUGUGAAUAAUAAAUGGGUGAACCUUGUGUUGUAAGUAAAUUACAUGAUGUAAGAAAUAUAUUACAAUGAGUAGAAAGUGCUUGUUUGGCCCUCAAAAUGUAGAAAUAGUAGAAAAUGUGGAGUUGGGUUAUGCGGUUGUCAUUAACGAAUGACAUAAGGUCCAGUGAGCUAAAGAACAUAAAAUCAAAAUAUAAUCACCAGCGUGGAUGUACAUACAGUUAAAAUAGACUUACAUUGUGUGACCAAUACAUUACAGUCUGUAUAAAUUAGUGUACAUAGAGUUGUAUUUGUACAUAAAUAAUGCCGUUGUCUUAGAGUAAAAGUAAGGUGAUGUGAAUCAUUAAUCAUAUUGAUAAGCGUAAUAAUAGGAUUUCGUAUACGAGUAAUGUGUGAUUCAUAACACAUUAUGAAUGGUAAUAUACAUUUAUGUUGUCGUUUAUGGACAUACUAUUCAUGAAGUGUUGCAAAUUAGGAUGUUUGAUGCAUAAUUGGCAGGAUCAGAAGUAAUGAAUUGCAGCAAAUUGGCAGAAGAUGGGACCCUGAGUUAGGAAUGGAGUUCAACAACGAAGAGGAUGCGUACAAGUUUUACAACAAGUAUGCCUUUAAAAUGGAUUUUAGUGUACGUAAAGACUAUCUGAAUAAAGACAAAGACGGCGUGACCACGUCUAGGAGAUAUAGUUGUUGCAAGGAAGGUGUGAAGCGCAAGUACGAAGGUAAUGUGAUGCCAAAGAGGACACGAGCGCCGACGAAAACAGGGUGUGGAACUAAAAUGGUUAUCGUGUUGUUUAGAGGGACAAUGAAGUACCGUGUGCACGACCUUGUCUUAGAGCAUAAUCAUGAGUUGCACAUUACUCAAUGUGCGCACAUGAUGCCAUCACAAAGAAAAGUGAGUGUGGCUCAAGGAUUCCAAGCUGAAAUAAACGAGAUGCUGGGUUUUCAUUGAAACAGGGCCAUGGGCUUAUGGGAAAGGAGGCAGGUGGGAUGGGUAAUGUGGGAUAUACUCAGGAUGAUCUUAAACGAUAUCUUCGAAUGAGACGGGAAAAGAACUUGAAAUAUGGAGAAGCAGGUAGCAUACUGAAUUAUUUUCAAGAGCAAAUACUAGAGAAUCCAUCCUUUUUUCAUGCCGUACAGCUGGACUGUGAAGAACAGAUAACGAACAUCUUUUGGGCUGAUGCAGGAAUGUUAAUUGACUACAACUUUUUUGGAGACGUAGUCACAUUCGACACAACCUACAAAACAAAUAAAGAAUACCGGCCACUUGAAGUAUUUGUGAGUUUUAACCAACAUAGGUAAAUUGUGAUAUUCGGUGCUGCUCUUAUGUAUGAUGAGACGAUAGAUUCUUUCAAAUGGGUGUUUGGUACAUUUCUAGAAGCAAUGUGCGAAAAGCGUCCAAGUACCAUACUAACCGAUCAAAAUCAUGCAAUGGCAACCGCUCUUUCAGUUGUCAUGCCUGAAACAUUUCACGGUCUAUGUACGUUUCACAUAAGGCGUAAUUUUAUGAAAUAUUUUGACAAUCACUACAAGAAAAAUAGUGAUCUUCCAUACAUGUUUGGUACCUGCAUGUAUGAGUUUGAAGAAGUGAAACAAUUCAAUAGGGUGUGGGAGACGAUGGUGAAGAAACACAAUCUUGAAAAUAAUGAAUGGCUCUCCGGGUUGUAUAGAAUUCGUAAUAAAUAGGUAAGGUGCAUGAUGAAAGAAAGAUGGACCGCGGGAAUGCGAAACACCCAACUUAGUGAAAGGCUAAAUGCAGCAAUUAAAAAUCAUUUGAAACUGGAUUAUGACCUUGUUCUGUUCUUUAGACAUUUCAAUCGGGUGAUUGAUUAACUGAUCGCAGAAUAUGAAAUGAGGCAAAAGCUCCUCAUGGUAAGGCAAACACCUAUGCUUGUGCAUGCAUCAGAGAUGUAUUCACCAACCGUCUUUAUUGCAUUCCAAAAUGAAUAUGGCGAGUCAACAGGUAUGGUUGUAUUGAGACAACAAGAUGCAGCGAUGUUUGUGGAAUUUGCGGUCAUGAGGUAUGAUGGAGGAUCUGAAAGAAUAGUGGUAUUCAAUUGGAAUGAUCUAAGUGUACGUUGUAGUUGUAAAAAUACGAGAAUGAAGGCAUUUUAUGUGGGCACGCGUUGAAGGUGUUUGACACCGUGGGCAUGAAAAUAAUUCCUCCUGAAUACGUUAAAAGGCGAUGGACAAAAAGAGAUCGGGCUGGAGACUGUUUUGAUCGGCGAGGACGGGAAGUUGUGGCUGAUCCUAAAGUAAUGAUUUCAACUCGUUAUCGGGAGCUCGCUCCAGCCAUGAUUAAGGUCGCAACUUGAGCAGCAAUGUCAGGAGACACCAACAAAGUAGCAUUCACUGUCAUAUCCGAUUUGGCAAAGAGAGUUGAGCUCCUCCUCUCAGAAAGCGAAGAGCAACCUUUGUAAAAUCAAAAAAUUCUAAAUAUGGAGGAACGGGAUGAAAUUGAAAUUGUAAAUGAAAUGGGAAGGCAGUAGUCGCAAGAGGCAUUAAAAAACUAGGCGGUGGGAAGAAAAGUAGAGUGAUGCGAUGUUGGGUCGAUAAAUUUGAUAGAGUAAAAAGAAAAUCUAGAUUAUCAAGAACUACACAGACUACGGUAUGGAUCAAAUUUUGGUACUUGGGGAACAUUUAUGCUAAAACUAAGUUAUCGUUAUACUAUUAACUAAAGUUUAAAUACCAUUCAUUAUGAAAUAAAAUUAUUGUCGUGUCAAUACUGUAGGUCUCAGAAUCGAAGCCGACAUCGGUUUCAUUUGAGAAAUACAUGUUUAUGGGAUGCCGUUCAUCUACUGACUCUGUUUCGGUUAGUAUAAAAUGGACAUGACUCUUACUUUUAUUUGGAUGUUUCUAACAGCAUAAAAAGUUACAUUGAUGUUACAUUGUGUGAUAAUGUUGUUACGGCCGUCAUCCCUCCUGAUAUACCUAUUUUGUUUAUCUUAUACAAUGAUUUGGCCUAUACGAAACUCGUAGACGUAUUCAAUAAGCCAGACACUGAAUGGCCCUCCAAACGCUGUUGCUCCCGAUAUCGAUGAAAGUGAAACGGUAUACAUACAUUUAGUAGUUAAAAUAAAGACCUUCUUGUUCGUGUAGUAGAGAUACCUUUUUUUUCUUUAAUUGUAAUGGUGGGCACCCGAAAGCUGUCAAAUCAUGCAAAUUAUGUAGUUAACGUAUGCUCGCUUUAAUAACAUAUUAUUUUUUAUUAUUCGAAGGUCUACCAUUUGACUAAUCAGGGGCCUCCUGCAAGUGUCCCUACAGAAAGGAUGCAUCCCAGAUUUUCUAUAUUUUCCAAGCAUGAAUCCGUCAGAGAUGUCUUAAUGGUCUGAUAUAUCAUUUUUGUUAUAAUGUCUAGUCCAAUUUAACUUUAUAAGUGAGCAAUAUAGACACUGGUAAUGAUUUGUUGACAGUCGAUUACUUAUACUAUGUAAUGUAGGAGGAGCGUGCGGCAAUUUCAACACACUGUGAUGUUGAUGCACAUCAUAUAUUUGCACCAUCACCCCAAGUGACAAACUUUUAUCGUUACAACACAUAUUUAUGUAAUAUUGUUAAUUGGAGACUUGGACAUCGUAUAUCAUUAAUCGUAUGUUUCAUUAAUAAUAUUUGCUGAUUUGGCAUCGUUACUCAUUUCAGGAAAGAAAUAACACCCAGGGAUUGCAACUACGCGUUGACGUCGCCUCCCCCGAGAAUAUAUUGAUGAAUGAUGUGUAACUAUACUUUUUGAACGAGACAUUAAGUGGUUGUCCCAACCUGAGAAUGCUGCAUAUGUACAUUACAAGCAGUUAAUAAGCUGUUACAACUUAUUGACGAGGUUGUACAGGCACCAUUGAUGUUUCACUCUUUUCAAAUUUAGACAAGUGGAUUACAAUUGUAAUCGCAUCUAAUAUUAGUAGUCAUCAAUAGUUUGUAUUGGAUUGUAUAAAAUUGUUAGAAAAUUAUAAAAUUGGUGGAAACUUGAAGUAACAAUUUUACAAUAGAAUUGAACGUAUUUUUUGUGAUCGGAUAUUUUUCACUAAAUCGACCAUAACAGUUGAAUGGCUGUCGUGAUAUGUAUACCAUUCUACUACAUUCAAUUGCAUACCUUAAUAACAUAUUUAUUGGCAUAGAUCGCACCGCUAAAGGUACGAUAUAUAAGAUAACACAAUCAUUCGUAUAAAUUGUCUUGAUUUUGUUACAAUGCUAUUAUUGGGCUAUUUUUAUAAAAACAUUAUCAUUUAGGCCAUUUAUUUUGCAUCGUUGAUGAAUUUAGCGCACCAUUGACAUGAUAUAUCACAGGCACAUCAAUUAGUAUUACAAGUUUUUAGGUUAAUUGAAUUAUGGUCAAGCCAGGUCACGACCACAUGUUGGUAAUAGGUGCGCAUAAGAAAAUGAAUUCUUGGAGAACUAAUUUGUAACGUUAAAACGAAGUUUUAUAAUGUAACAAAAAGGAAGAACGAACAGUACACAAUGGGUUACAAUCAGUUAGGGAUAUGUUACUGUUGCGUUAUAACUAGUUACGACUGUUUAACAGGCAUUAUUAAUAUCCAAAUAUGGUAAGCAAUUUGUUUGAGUAGAGAUUAUAAUGAGUAUAGUUUUAUCGCUACCCUGACGAACAUUGGACUACAUCCAUUGUUAUCAGUUGUAUCCCAUACAACACCUGGGAACGCCGUCAUGCAUUAGACAAUGGGGUAUGUACCUUUGAAAGUCAUCGUCGCCUGAUUCAGUAAAGUCAGAUAGGUCCGGGUCGGAUAUAAGCAUGGGAUCUGCUAAAUGUGCUGAACAUCAAAUUGUUUUCCAAUAUCAUGUCUUUUUGUUGCCUGGAUCUCGUGUAACCUGUGAAGCCUAUGCUCUAUCUGCAUAACUUUUCGUUGUAGUCUAUGUAAUACGCUUGCAUCAUUGGCUUGUGGUCCUAUAACAAGAUCCGCUGACCUUGUUCUAGGGACGCGGAGGCCAUGCCAGCGACAAAAUAUCUCUAAUUCCAUUCUUCGCUCACGAACAGGCUUCCAUAUGGGUUCAUGGUCCAUAACGAAAUAGUCAGACGGUAGAUGAUCGUUGACGGUAUUUUUAAAAAUGUGACCAGCUAGUCCCAGAGAAUUGUUAGUGUUAAGUGGAGCGUUCCUGAACUCGCGUUUAGUACCAUAUAAAAUCCUCCCGUCUGGUGUUUCGUACUUACUUAUGGCAUUUGUUGGACACAAUGAUAUUUUCCGUCUUUUUUGCCGACCAUUUGAUGGUGAGCUUGUAUGAGAUCCUUCGUUUGUGGAUUGCAUGACUAUGCAAAUACCUACUGCUUUUUGGUUGGAUGAAAGGAAGGAUCUACUGAUAAAGAAUUAGGUGGAAGAAAAAAAGAGGUAGAAAUUUUUAACGGAGCACCUAUUUCAGACCAUGCAUAGUAAAUAAUUUUUUCUGCAACUUGACCAACUGCUUUCUGUGUCAUUUCAUGCUGUUCUCCACGGUAUAGUACUCCUAGGUGAGUAGAUGAAGGCAUGGCAACCACCUAUUAACGAGAGAAUAGACUCAACGUUUGGUCAAAUGUAUAGUGUGUGGAUGAAAUAAUGGUUCAAUUCGAUUGGGUCAUGACUUGUACUCCAACAACAAUUGGGUCAGGUGAAUACCCAGUUAUACGUCAGUCACCUUACUUUUCAAGUGUAACAAGAAGUUACGACCAGCAUAUGUACGUUACAAGAAGUUAAUAAGCUAUUACCGCUUAUUGAUGUGUUUAUACAGGCACCUUGUCAUUUGCCUGUAUGUUAAAACUUAGACAAUUUGUUUACAAUUGUACUAACGAUGAGUAUUACAGAUAGUAUUACUGGCACUUCAAUAGGUAUUACUCCUUCAGUACAGAAAUGAAGUUACAAUUGGCGGCUCGACUUGGUUCCACAUGACCACAUAAUAAGUAACAGUUUCGCAGAAAAACAUGAUACUUCGUUGGGAUAAGUAAUUUGAAAGUAGGGUAACUAAUAUUUAAAAUACAACAAAUUUUGAUUACGCCAUAUACAUGUUGAGUUACAACCAUUUAUGUAUAUGUUACAAUUCAUUACAACUAAUGAAUUUGCCAUCGACAGUUUUUCGUCUUAUCUAGUUAAAACUAAUGAUAUUACAACUAAAAAUUUCCUGAUAUUAUAACUAGUGAUACUACAACUAGUUAAUAUCUGAUGAACAUUUCCUCUUCUCUUGUUUGUGCAAUUGCGCUUGGCACAAACAAUAAGUCCUCCCCCCAACACAUAAAAUUUCUUAGACACUUUAGUAAGUGUCUACUGAGAACAUAGAGAUGGUCGAUUCGAACCCCAAAAUAAUUGAUGUAACGAGACCUUCUCGAACAUCUCAUUAAAUUAGCUAGACCUUCUCGAACAUCAUGCAACCUACUAGCUGUUAUAUGGCACCCAACUGUGUGAACUCUCUAUUGAUGACACUGCAAUUGAAGUCAGAGGAGGGUUGAAGAAUACUAAUAAUAAAUUUCAGACACGGGUUCAUUGCCACCCUUCAGUAGAAUGAAAUGGGAAGUGUGAAGUUAUUUAAAAUGGAAAAUAUUUGUGCAGUAAUGAAAGGUGGACGAAAAUUUUUUUGUUGUUGAGGGAUAUACUACUGCAACCGUGCCCUUUUAUAGUCGCAGGACCCUCACAAUGUGCUAAAAUAUCACUGGACAACGCAUUCCAAGCCAAACAAUUUUGUCAUGGCAGUGGAGGCCGUAGAGUUCGAUGCAUGCCAUUGAACUGUGUCAAAUCUGUUCAGACAAUAAAGCAAAUUAUGCAGCUUUUGUCAUGAAAUGACAUGUACACCAAUAUUAAGGGUCACGUGGAUAAAGAGUUACACAUCAGUGACCUGUACCUUUCGCUAUGUACGGAUUGCGUUACAACCAAUUAGGUGUAUGUUAUAAUUCAUUAUAACUAAGUAAAUUUGCAGUCAGCAGCUUUUCAUCUGCUCUAUUUAAAACUGAAUAAUAUUCCAACUAGAUAUUCCCCGAUGUUACAACUAGUGAUAAUACAACUAGUUAAUAUUCGAUGAACCUUUCCUCUUCUCUUGUUUGUGCUAUUGCCCUUGACCUUGACAGAAACGAUAAUUCCUCCCACUGACACAUUAAAUUUCUUAGACACUUUAUUAAGUGUCUUUUGAGAAUAGUUACGAUGAUCGUUUCGAACCCCAAAACAUUACGUAGCAAAACCUUCUCAAACAUCUCAUUAAAAUAGUGAGAUCUUCCUGAACGCAUAUGAGGCCAACUAGUAGAUCACGGGAGAAGAGAUUGUAGACUCACAUGUAGUGCCUGAACCAUGUUGGAUAAGUUUCGUUACGUACAAAGCAUCAGAUUUGUAGUACCGAAAGUGAAUAUACGUGUUACGUGCUGUUGCUAAUGAUUUACAGAUUUCAACACAUGUUUUCGCAGCUUUUAUCAUCUAAGGACCUGUACUCCAAUGUUGGGGGUCACGUCUAUACAGAGUUACACAUUAUUGACGAUAAGUUUCACUAAUACCUUAUACAGUAACGCUCUAAAUACACUGUUUGCACUUUACCUUCUUCUAUUUGUUGGGUGACCCAACAUUUUCAUUGUUGUAAAUAAGAACGCACAAAGCUGUAAGUAAGAAUGCACGAUUUGUGACUAACUCAAUAAACAAACAAUCUCGUGUAUUAGGUUCGUCAAUAUGUAGUUCGUGUCUUAAGAUAACCAUACAAUCUCGUUUAGCUCAAAAAAUACAAUAGUUGAAAUGCUUGCCGAUGUCAUUAACACAGAACAAUUGCGUAGCGCAAGUGUUUUCAGCUGUAAGGUUUUCACACUUACUAGUUCCCAAUAACUUGGGUGGGAAAAAAAAUUAGUAGAACAUGCUGUCAACAUUACACUAAAAAAGUCACAGACAGUGCGAAUGAGCUUACACCUACGAGCUCUCUAGUACACAAGUCCGAUUCAUAUAUCUUGCAGUCUAGCUAACGUGAGGUCAGCGAAAAACUGCUAUUAUAAACAGCAGCAGGGCGAUCAAAAUCGAAAUCGUCAAGAAGGUUUUCAUUUGCUUGAUGUCAUUCUGGAUGCGUUGCACAAGAUAGGAGAAGGUGGUUGAUUGAUGGAGCAUUGUUGUGGGACUGUCGAACGAGCUUUCUCUAGUUAUUUCUUGUCGAUUAAGUGAGGUGGGGUAAUAGUUAGUCUGAACAAACUCAUCAUCCCUCCGUAUUGGAUGAGCCCAGGCGAAAAAAAAACAUGCUUUUACAUCACACACGAAGUACAACAAGUCUGUCGUUGGUUUCUGUGACUCCACGAUCUUCAGGUUAGCCUUUUUUUCACAGUUACAGUAUCGAUAUACCUUAAUUCACUAGAUCCGCCACCAACAUUACUAGAUGAAGACAUCUGAACCAUGUAAAACUCCUUUGGGGCCUAUGAUUAGAGAAUAUGGGGUGAGGGGAUGAAAUAAUGGGGAUGGUUGUGUGUUGAUCGUGAUGAUUCACACAGGUGGCAGUUAAUAUGUGGCCAGUCUCAGAUAUAAACUACCAACCAUGGAGUGAAAGGCGCAGCAGUGAUAACGUACAACACGUUAAAGCGGUAGUACCAGAUAUUCGAACAUUGUUACGUGGAGUUACUAACCUGUUACGAAAAAUUGGUGCUGUUAUUGUCAAAGGAACUUAACAACAGCUACGGACUGAUGCUAAUGUACAAAUCGUUACUGUAGCUUAUAUAAAAAAAAGGGGUGAUUCUUCUGCUUUAGUAUACUUGCAACUAAUUGUUAAGGUAACCAUUACAGUUUGAGGUUUGGUCCAAUGUCAACAAUAAGAGGGUAUGAAAUGGACUAACAGUAAAGUGGGAUUAGACGCGAAGUUAUUAAAUAGGGGCUAGUAUAUUACACACUGGAAAUGGGGCAGGAGCGGUCAAGGAUUAAAUCCUUUACCUCUCAAUGACAGAUUCGAGAAAAAAAUACAUUCUCGUGAUUUGGAUCCAAAAGUCACUUAGAAAGUGAGAAAUUGGAUUAUAUAAAAUUGCGAAACAUAAUUUGGAGAAUUGGAUUAAUACUACCAUAAGUAUGAGUAAAAGGUCCAUGGAUGAAGAUAGAAAAUUAGGUUUCAAAUAGUAACUAAAUCUUCAAUUUUUUAUUGGUAGAGAAAAAAUUGAAGCAAACUAGCUAUUAAACGAUGACUUUGGUUUACUAAAGACAUCGACCUAUUCUAUUCUUUUAACUCGGUGGAAACAAAAUCCCUUUCCUCAGGAUCUUCUCGAAUAAAAAUAAAAAUAGAGAACGAAGUAACUACAAAGAUUGUUAUAAUUACUCUCUUCUAAAGGGAUCAUCUAAAAAUCGAUUUUUUUUUGUCUCUAUUCAAACAAAAGCUGACAUAGAUGUUAUCGGGUGGAGGAGGGGCUGGAAGGGUUGUCAGAGACAACCGUUGCCGAAGGUUCACGGCCAUGAAUAGGCAAAAAAAAUUUGUGCGGUUCAGAUUACUCCUUGUAACUCGAUUUUCACGUCGUGUUGGACCCACAAAAAUAUUGUUCUAGUGUUACUCGCUGUUGUUUUAUUGUUGUACCUUGUAUAGAUGAUGUUACACCGUAUGCAAAUAAUGUUACACCUAAGGAACGGUUGCUCUGACAACCGUUCCAAUCCUGGAUUCGUUAUGGGGGUAGACUUUUUUUUUGUAAUAUUGUUCACAUCCAUAAAGGAGUCGAAUGAAACCAAAGUUUCAUGCUCUGAUGACCGCUCCUGAGCUGUUUUGGCCUCAACAAAUUGUGCAGUCCAGACACAAGUUGUACAUCGAUUUUCACACUGUGUGUGGGACCCACAAAAUUUUGUACUAAAGUUACGUCAUGUGCAACUAAAGUUACGCCUUGUUGAAAAUGGCCAAAACCAUUGGGAACGGUUGCACCUGCAACAGUCCGUGCCCCUUGUCCUUAAACACUCGUAUCUCUAACAUUUGAUGCAAUUUAUUACCAGUCUGACUAAUAAAAAGGGUUAGGUGGAAGUUAUAAACUUGCGCACGUCGAUGUCUUAUACUAAACCACUAUGUGUAACUUUUUAUGUGCUCUAUGUAAUACACUUUCAACUACGAAGCAGAUCUAUACCAAUCCAUGUCAAUUAAUAAUCCUUGCGUACAAAGAGUGAAGGUGAUAAGAACGAGCAUCUUUAUAAUCCAUUGCUCUUCAUUGUCCAUAAUCUUCGUAGUGCCAGUAUUACAAGUAGUUGGCAAAAAGUCACAGACAGAUUUAAAACAAUUAAUGUUCGGCUAAUGUUAUUACUGACAAUAUUCUAGUGACAACUCAAAACCUGACUUAAAUUACAAGUAGCUGCAAAUAUUCGUGCUAAUGUGUCCAGAAAAACAAAACCAGUAACUGUUUCAAAAAACAUCCUUUGCUAUUAUGCAUAGCAGAAACAAGAAUUUACAUCCCUGUUGAAGAUGCUCUUGCAACCAUUUACUGUUUACUCCCAAGUGUGGCUGCAAUAGUGUCCAGAAACUUUGUAUUAUGCUCCGAACUACAAAGCCGCGCGGUGUACAUCAUUCGAUACUUCGUAACAUUUUCCUGCCACAAUUUCACCUCUGAUAAUCAGCGCCACGAUUAAGGUAUUUAUUAACCAUUUAUUGCCACAAGUACGUACAAAGAUAGUUACAAAACGUGACCACACCUUUGUAAUUCGCACAGCCAAUCUUUCACUCCAAUGUUCAAGAAAGGUCAUCGUGAAAACUCCACUAUCGAACCUAGUCAGAUCAACAUGAAUCUUCUCAGGAAUAAGGAUAAUAUAGUAAAAUGAUGGUAGUACACCAUUGCAGUGAUAAGGUAUCGGGGAAAAGGUCAUGGAAAAUUCGAUAUUAUACCAGCUAUCGGGUGACUGAUGAGGGACAUCAGCAACUUCGAGUUUGAAACUUGCAAAGUCAAUUUCCAUCCUAAAUUUAGCUGCCAUUAUCAGUCCGAGGGCACGUUGCUGCACGAAACACAAUCAAGUAACUCAACAUUUGAUAAAAAUCAAUGAACUAUUCCCAUAAACAAUCAUACCAAGCGCUUUAGAACUGUAAUAUCUUUGCUUUUUGCUUGUUGUGGGUCAGGGUCUAGCAGGUGGACUACGCGAUGUGUGACAUGGAAGGAGUACACAAACCAAUAACUGUCUACGCGGAUAGGGACAAGAAUCUGAUGUAGAGCAAAAAACUUUUUCAUUAGCAAACUACCAUAAUAGAGCAGUUUACUAAUAACUUGCCAAUAAAUACAAAUUCAGCAAUAGUUAUAAUAAGGUUAUAUCUAUACCAACUGACACUUGGAAGGAUCAGCCGUAUUAUUCGGGCCGCGGAUCUUGAACAACUUUAUAAGCUUAGCAGUUAGGAUGUCAUCCGACUGUGUAUCGAAUUUUCGAAGAUUCAAGAUGCCAUCCUGUUAAUAAUCAGUACAAGGGGAUAUAAGUGUUAAGGGUGAUUUUCACAAUUGGUAUAAGAUUACAACAUGCAUUUGUGCGAAAUUUUGAUAAUAGUUUAAUGAAUACAACAAUUUUAAUGCUUACAACUGCUAUAGGCUCGACAAUAUAGUGUUUGACUCUACUGGUUGUGCUAGUCGCCCCGCCCCAGUUGAUGUGCCGGGCAAACAUGUCCAUGACCUGCUUAUUCACAGCACAGUGACAGAAUUGAUUUAGUCACUGCCAUUUCAAAAACCUAUCGCUUUACCUUACUAAACCAAUACAAUGUAUUAUUUGUCGUAUGUGUCAAAUAUGCCUAACCCGAGUCGAGACAUGCAUGCCAUCACAAAGAGUCCUGAGGUCAUCUCGUGUGAGAGAAAGUUGGAACAUUUAAAUGAGAGUCUCCCAGCCAUUACACGAGACAAAAGGAGGCGCUAUUUAAAUUUGCCAGUUCUUAGCAACCCUGAGUUACAAAAAUGUAAAUGCUUUAUCAUGUUGUUACACUCAGUUUCAGGCAACAAACAGUAGCACUAAUAAACCAUGCAUCCCCUAGGCUGGAGAAAUUUUACUACCUUCUGCUACUUCUUCAUUAUAAACAAGUAGUAAAAGAUACGUAAUUUGGGAGAAAUUUUACAACUGUCUUUUAAGAAGAAGUGAUGCCAUUGCAAAUCAACUUUAAUUCUAAUUGGGAGAGCAUAAAAAUUCAAAGGCAACAUGCAAGAAACGACUGACUAUUUAUAAAAGGGCUAAUUUCAGAUACCCUCGUUCGGCUUUUGACAGUCUCACUCUUCUCCCUUGCGAUUUCAAAAAAUUUCAGGAAAAGACUUACACACCCUCCCUUUCAUAACUUCAGGUCCUAUUUCUUACAUCUUCGUGGCUAAAACGCUUCAAACCCACUCACGACUUUGCUAUUUUUUCGUGAUUAUGGGUUCAAGAAUUCGUCUAACAUUCUCAAAAGUAACAUUUGAGUAUUCUAUAUCUAAUCUCCAUUCCACAUGUAUACAUAAUCAAUUAACUAACACCUAAUAGAAAGUACAUUUUGCUAGUUCUUAACUUGGUGACUAACAAAUAAUUAAAUCGAAGGAGAGGGACAUGCAGUUAAUCUCAAAAGAUGCAUGAAUUCAUUAGGAAUGGACUAGAGAGAUGCACUUAACAAAUAGUAGCAACUAUAAAUUCUUAAGUGGCUGUAUCAUAACCUUAUAAUCGUAUUAUAAACACAUUGGAACCUUACUUGGGAUUCUGAUCUUCCUCCCACGCGAAAUCCUUUUAUCGUACGUGCUGACUGUUACGUGUGAAGGCAGAAAGUACUCGGCUGACCGUAGCAUGCUGUUUUUCUUCGUUGCCCGAGUUGGCUUCCUCUCAUUCUCAUCUUCAACAGCUGCUACAGAUAUCAAUACAUCAGAAAAUAUAAUUCAAUAAUUAAUUCACACUGACAGAAUAACGCUUAGGUAUGCGUGUUAUACAAAAAAUUAAUAGGUCAGCAGCAGGGCAGUAACGUUUAACCGAUUAACCGAUCAGCCAAGUAUUCUUCAAUUGAUCUGCAAAAUUAAAAUGCAUUGAGCAUAAUUCAGCCUCAACAGUAUCAGGGUUUACAGUCGACAUAACAUAAUAUAAUAAAUUCGUGGCAAUUCGUACAUCAAAUUCUUGCCAGCCACCAACUAACCUUUUCUUUUGCGACUAUAAGACCGCAACCUUCUCGGUGUGUUUGGCCCAUCUAAAGAAUGCUCAAUUCAUACGGGACCUGUUGAGCAAUCAUGCUGCAUAUGUUGUGUGGCUUCAUUCGUAAUGCGGUCCGAAAUGCUUGUUAUAUGGUCAGUAUGUGCUUCAACGCCUCGUGAAUCAGGUUGACCGAUUGGUGGGGUAUCAUUUGACUUGUCUCCACUAAAUGAAAUGUCCUUCCCAUCACCUGUGAUGCCAUCAUUUUCUGCCCCCUUCUCAUCACUAGUUCUCCCACUUUGCUCUUUUUCAAUCGUCUUCUAUCCCAUUGAUUGCCGAUUUGUUGGUUCAGUCUCAUCUAUUGAUCUGAUUGACGUCCUAAUGUCAUCAGCAGUACCGCCGACAUUUUGUUCUUUUUCACUAUCACCGUCAUCGAGAUCUUUGGAGUCCUUUCCAUCCUGAGCCGAUUCAUAUUCCGAAUGAUCUUCACUUUCCAUAUCAAGAUGUAUUUGCUCUGAAUCAGACAGCCUCUGUUUCUGCUUUUCCUUUGAAACGACCUCUGUUGCUGCUGCUUUGGCCCUAGGAUGAGAACACAGCAUUUCUGCAAUCUUUAAUAUCCUUCUUUGAUAACUCACUGUCAUACUGUACACUUCUGAAAGCUCAGCCUGCUUAUACAUUAACAAACCAUAAUGAAUAGCUCGUUUCGACUUAAUCCGGAACAGAUGAAUAGGGAAAUUAUGCAUUGAUGUGUAUUACUUCCUCGUGGACCUCACUAAAUCUGCCUUUUCACUUUCAAUUGGUGAAAUAUUUUUCAUGACUAAGUUAUGAAUACCCAGUUAUACAUGAAAAUGUCUUAAGGUGUAUUUGCCACUCGAAUCAAAUGAGAUUAUGAUAGUUACCUUUAUAUUUUGCAUGAAUAAUAUGUGAGAAUUUUUUGCACUACUCUUUUCUGUCAUAGAAUAUGGAAAAUACGACACGAGCUGCUCUAUGCAAGAAAUGUACCUAGAUUGGAUCACAACAGUAGUGUUAUUUGUGCCCGACAUUUGAAAAAUGUUGCCACCUUUUCAAAGCUUAACAAACGAAUGGGUGUACUUAUUUGUCCCAAACUCCACUUACAACUAACUUUCCUAUUUUUGUAUGUUAUGCAUACCAAACGCAAAAUGAUUGUAUGCGGUCAUCGAAGAUUUAUAAUGAUUGUAUUGGACAAGAUAACUUUCCCCAGUUACAUAGGUUUGGCUGCUUACAAAAACAUCAGCAUAAAUGCAUAACAUUUGCUCUUAAGCAACAACAUUACGUAAUGAACUUUCAAUUUUGAAAAGUUAGGUAACUUACAGCAAUGUUAUGAUGACUGCUGUCCAUCAUUAUUCCAACUAGCUCAGGGGGUAGUUCAUUUAUCUGUGCACCUGAUUCAGCCUAUUCCUCUUCAUGCGCCCCAAUCUACGAAAAUAAAGUCAAACCAUCACUUCAUAAGUACAUGGUAUGUGUGUCCUAUACAUACGAACUAGUAAGUUACAAUCCUUAUCCAAGCCAAAAAAUAAUUAUCUCUCUUACUAGUUUUCCUUUUCCAUAAUCUCUGAGAUUAUCGAUCUCCAAUGCAUCCCGCUGUGAAAUUAAAGCAUCUAUCCAUGCCUUUGCUCUUGGUGUAACUCGAGUCACUCUGUGCUUUAGUAUUGUCACUCGAUCGAGGUAAUGCACCUACAAUCCAAUUGGCAACUGACUCAUCAUUUAUAUCAUCUGCAAACAAUAUAUGUAUUACGAAUUUCAAAAUUUUAUUUAUAUCUAAUGUCCCGUUUGUUUGACAAACCUCUUUCCUGUCCUUCAUACUUACUUAUCAUAUCAUAAUAUGUACGUUGCAUAAACAACCUUCAUGUGCCUAAUUAAAAUUUCAAAAUCGUUGCAUCCCCUACUAGUUACAUGACUUACUAACUUUCAAUAACGCGUAACUAAACUUACCAGUAGAACAAAGAUGCAGCCCCCAACAUAUUAGUGCUACUUUUUGCUUUUCUUCUGCACUUCUAGUAUCCUAUUGCAUAGUACAUUUCUAACGUACUCUGCCCAGUUUAACGAGAGCACCUCAGUAACCACCUUCGUGCAACCCCAUAGCCGGAUUUUAUGCUCAGCCCGUGUAGUUGGAGCCAAUAGACAUCCACAAGCAAAUGCAACAAAUAGUCGCUUGAACUCGUCCCUACUGCUCAUGGAUACUAACUUAUUCGGCAGCUCUUUCCAUUUGUAUGUUUGGCGACUUGGUCCAGAAUCUCCACUUUCACUGCUAUCAGUAUCUUCAACUGGUAAGGGGCCAUCAUUUGGGAUUCCAAGGAUGAAACUGAUGUCUUUUGCUGUUAGGGGUAGCACACCAUCUCCAUGUAGCUGAAAGCUGCUUAGUGUAGGAUUAAAAUUGUCGACCAGCCAGGUUCCUAUAUCGUUCGGAAUGGAAUGACACUGUAUUUCCAGCAGCCCUCCAAACCCCAUAUCUCUGAUUUGCUAUUUUUUUGUUUCAUCAAUGUUCGAUGCUAACCAAACCAUCUGAUUUGGUGAACAACAAAUGGUGUAGUUCGGAUUCUAUAAUCAAGUUCAAGCGAAAAACCUAGUUAGUCAUACACAGAUUAUCACAUACCAACCUAAACUUCAUCCAUGCUUUGUGCUUACCUUAUACUGCUGUAUUGGCGGUAUAGUCUUUUCAAACCGCGUCAUUUCUCUCUUGUACUCCUCUUUUUCUUUUCAAUAGUUCUCUUUUCGUUUCUGUACUUCUUCCUCGCUCAAUUUAUCAUAUGCUGCUUUGACCAUUUUAUUAUACUGCAUUGGAUGCAUAUAAUCGUUAAUCAUUCCCAAUGUCAUCAUCAUUUUCUAAUGGGUUAAUAGUAUAAUUCCUCCCCUGACUUUUGUUCUAAUCACAUCUACCACCCCCCAAGUUAAUGUUUUCACACCUAGCACCCCUGGCAGUAGGAUGUGACAGAUUCUCCUAAUCAAAAGAUAAGAAAUUAUUAAAAAAUCACCAACAUCUACCCCAUGCCACAAAUAACCUUAACUCAUUCAGAGGCAAAAAGAAAUCCGGAUAAAUAAUGUUAUAUCACAACCAAAGUUGAAUGGCCAUAAUUUAAAAAUAAUCUAUGCAGUAUACGGAGACCAAUACUCCACUACAAAAACUAAAAACAAAACUGCAUACCAAAACAGAUAAAAAAAAAUCAGAAAAUUCUUUUAAGAAUUUUUUGAUAACUAUUCUGAAUUAUGUUAUAUUUUUAUACAAAUUGUAACUCUAAUUGAACUAUCCGUAAAACCUAUCAUAAGAGAUACGAUUAUUACAUAUUGGACCCAUAUGUACACUAACGUGUUACACAAAAUUACAAAAUGUUCAAAAUGUAUUACACUGUUCAAGGAUGAUUGAUCUAACAACCUUAUUUACCUCGCAUCUCUCUAAACGAUACAUAUCGUCAUACUCCAUGGUCUACAAAACAACAAAUUCGGUUAUAGUUUCAUACAAAUCUUGUUACAACCCUGAUGCUAUCAUAUUAUUUAUUAUAUGAUCAUUUACGUAUACUAAAAAUCAAGAUUUAUACCUGUUUUGCUACUACGAAGUAUACUCAUUUUGGGUUAUGGAUAAAAGUGGAACAAAAAUAAAGUCUCUCUCCUAAACUUCAUUUUUUACUACUCUUUUCAAAUAGAGGGGCUGACAAUGACACCAAAGUUGUCAUGCCAGUGGUGCUAAGUGUGAUUUUGAUAACAUGGAGGGUGCUAGGUGUGAUUCGAAGAAACCUCAAGGGAGGUUUCUGAUAUUAACCCUUUUCUGAUUGUGUUGAUUACUUUUACCGCGCCCCAACUUUCCAAAUUAAUGUUUUAGUUAGUUCUUAUGCGUACCUCUGUUAUCUUAAUGCCUUUCGCUGGAACGGCGCUUUGAUACUCCUUCCUACACACAUUCAAUAUUAACCAAUUAACUGUGCAUUCUACUCAUCAUUAUUUUUUUUAAUAAACACCAACAUUACCUAAAGUUCAUCCACGGAUUCAGUGGUGGAGCUGGUUGUCUGACUUCACUUGUCCCCGCUGCCUCUAUUCCUUCAUUUUCGUCUAAACUCUUAUUCCGUCUUUUGCUUCUUAUCCGUGCCAUCCUAUUUAUGCAUAGCAACGAAUACAAUAAACAUACACCAACGAAGUCUCAAAUAUGACAUACCAAUUACGCACUAACUUUUCUACUCUAUUUUUUCUCUGUAUUUGUUAAUCCACACCAUGUAACACUUAUCCAACACAAUCGUGAACAUGCACAAGAACUAAUACAAUAAACAUAUAUCAAUGCACUUUCAAAUGGAAGCAAAUUCCAAUUUCAAUCUAACGUUUCUCUUCUCUUUCUGGCAUGUACCUGUUAAUCUACACCAUGUAACACUUUUCCAACACUUUGUUGAUGCAAAAGAACUAAUACAAUUAACAUACAUCAAUGCAGUUUCAAAUGGAAGCAAAUUUCAAUUUCUAUCUAACAUUUCUCUUCUCUUUCUGGCCUGUGCCUGUUAAUCCACACCAUGUAACACUUUUCAACACUUUGUUCAUGCACAAGAACUAAUACAAUAAACAUAUAUCAAUGCAGUCCCACAUACGACAUUUCAAUUUCAAUCUAACAUUUCUCUUUUCUUUCUGUCCUAUUCCUGUUAAUCCACACCAUGUAAUAGUUAUCCAACAACAUAUAAGACUUAUCCAACAUUGUGUUCAUACACGUGAACUAAUAGAAUAGACAUACACUAAUGAACAUCCAGAAACGACAUACUAAUUUGACACUAAAAUUUCUACUCUGUUUCUUCUCUGUGCCUAUUAAUCUACAACAAGUAACACUUAUGGAACACCGUGUUCAUGCAAACGAACUAAUAUAAUAAACAUAUACCAAUGAUGACCCAAAUACGACAUAUAAAUUUCAAACGAUCAAUUCUAUUCUGUUUGUGUCCUAUUCCUGUUAAUCCACAACAUGUAACAGUUAUCCAACAUUGCGUUUAUGCAUAGCAACGAAUACAAUAAACAUACACCAACGAAGUCUCAAAUACGAUAUACCAAUUACACACUAACAUUUCUACUCUGUUUUUUCUCUGUACUUGUUAAUCCACACCAUGUAACAUUAAUCCAACACUUUGUUCAUGCACAACAACUAUUACAAUAAACAUACAUCAAUGCAGUCCCAAAUACCACAUUCCAUUUUCAAUCUAACAUUUCUGUUCUCUUUCUGUCCUGUACCUGUUAAUCCAAACCAUAUAACAGUUAUCCAACAACAUGUAUGGCUUAUCUAACAUUGUGUUCAUGCACUUGAACUAAUAUAAUAGACAUACAGUAAUGAAGAUCAAAAUACGACAUACCAAUUUUACACUAACAUUUGUACUCUAUUUCUUCUCUGUGCCUGUUAGUCCACAAAAAGUAAGACUUAGCCAAUAUUGUAUUCAUGCACAUCAACUGCUACACUAGACAUACAGAUUUGAAAUAUUAAAUACAACAUACCCAUCCCAGACUAACAUUUCUUAUGUUAAUACUUUACACUUAACACACCAUAUCAAUGUUUCUCCAUGUCAUUUUUUUCUCACAUAUCAUAACAUAAUUUUUAGCCAAUAUGCUAUAUGACCCAUCCUUCACUGAAUAAUCUUGUGACUAUUUGAUAACGCAGUGUAUCACACACUCAACACAUUGUACAUCUAUUCAGCAUAUAGUAAUUAUAACGUACACCAAUUUUUUACACCUAUGAACUCCCUCCCAAACCCAUGCACACAUUUUCUCAAGCGGUUGUGCUGCAACAUUUCCCCCUCCUUUCCCACUAUCCUGUUUCGACGAUCAAAGACUAACACGUAAUACUCCUAUCACGCUGCACUUAUCAAUUACUAUACACAAAAUCAUGCAUGUGUGACAUCCCUCUAUACAAUCAUCAUAGUGUACACCAACAACAUCCAGAAAAUAAGGUUUUUUCACUUUUUGGUCAAAUUACACGCAUUACUAUAUCAUUCUAGGCUUCCUCAUGUUUUACCUGACUGAUUUGUGGUCGUUCACUACUUUCGAAUCCCACGAUCUUCCACUUUCGAACUUGGGUUCAACUUUCUUCUUCUUUUAUUAAACUCAGUCACCAAAAACUUGUCCUUCCGCCACCACUUCUUCCUUCUCCUUGCUCUUAUUUUCCUUCAACAAUGACACUGUUCCACAACUUUUGGCAAUGUCGCACUUUGUUGCCCGUCUUCUAGUUUUCUCUUUUAGUUUCUCCACUCCAAUCUUGCCCUAUUUUUUUACAUUUGUUAAUUUCAGCAACCGCUUCCUUUGGGAGGGAGUGUAAGUGGGGCUCUUCAUGGGAACAUUUCAUUUUUGGCGGGACUUUGCUUGCCAUUGCUGCUGACGGUCCGUUACGAUCAACACCAAUUCUAUUUUUUUCCCCUUAUUUAUAUUGAAACGACGUCGUUUUGGACGUAUGCUGAAGGCUGCUGACGUGGUUCAUUUCUCGCCUUUCCUUUCUGCUUGUGAGGAGACCGCUUGGGAACGGUCAAUCUGAUGACCGUUCCCGCCUCGUAUCCCUGGCAUAUAAUCUCUAGAGUCUAGAUUAAAUAAGUGUUUUGUUUUUUUUUAAUAACUUCAAUGGUGUAUUUAAUUUUUCAAAAAUUGUUGUGUUCUUGGUAGCAUAUUUUACUUGCUCUAUUUUUGUGCUAAAGUUCAUGAUUAUGAUUCUUUUGAAAAGAGGAGAAGAUUGGUUCUUUGAAAAAACGUAGAAAAGGCAGUGAAACGGGCAAAUUUGGUAGAACUGGUAUGGUGAAUUGUUUAAGCUUUUUAUUGAAAAAGAAUUGAAGUUAUUGAGUAGACCAUGCUAAGUUUAUAGAUACUUUAAGUUAUUGAGUAGACCACAAUCUGAAUUGCUUUACAAGAUAAAUACUUUAAUAUUGAUUACAGAAAAUGCAUGCUAGACUAUACCUGUUUACUAGUAGUGGCAGAGCGACAUGGCAUUGAGGGUGAGCAAUUAAUUGCCCCACCUUAACUUUUGAAAAUUUAGAGAAUAGUCUUGACACUUUAUAAAAUUUUUAAAUUUCACUAAUACUUGCUUCCUCUUAAUUUUAAAAAACACUCUUUUCUCCUAACACUAUCCUCUAUAUUAUGAGAAGUUCUCAUUUGUCUCACAUUACCUCCCCAAGCAAUCUAUUUAUUUUAGAUAUCUCUUCUAUGGUACAAAUGUUUAAAAGUUAUUAAAUGACAAAAUUGAUUAUUACUUAAAUAGGAAAUUAUUUCAAUACUUUUACACUACACAAAAAAAAACUCAUAAUAAAAACAUAAUCUUUAUUCAAUUUUUUUUUCAUACUAGUGAGAGCAAUUUGUGUGUACAAUAUUGCCUCCACUGGUUAUAGGUCCUGACUCCGCCACUGUUUACUAGGAUCGUCUAGCAUGGCAGAAAGCUAUCAGGAGUUCACUAGGUUUUUUACCAAACGAAUAAAACAGAUUACAUAUGUUUCAGGGUUGGGUAUAUGAUAUCAUUUUAUUUUGAUCACAGAAAGUGCAUCCUCCAUAUGCUUGGCCCUGAUUUCAAGAUAUUCCUUCACUGUUAAAGAACUAUAAAUGGGACAUUCAGACUUAGCAAAUGGUGCAACCUGGGAAUCAAUUGGAGGAUAGCAGAAGUAGGCAACAGAAAUCCUGUGCCUAAUCUGGUUGACAAAAGCACGAUGCAGAAUGCCAGAGAACUUGCCAUUUGACAAUAUAUCCAUAAGAUUACCAAAAUUGACCACAAGAGCUCCUUCAAUGGGUGAAACUGUCACCCAUCCGAAUCCGUCGCGAAAAAUCUGCAAACCCUCUUGACUUUGAUGAAGAAUGGUAAUGAGCAAUGAAUCUGUGUGAGGGGCUAAACCAAUGGUACUUUUGGGAUCUGGGCAGGCUGGAAAGGAAUUGAGUAACAAUGCAUCUUGGGACAUUGAUAGUUUCCAGUUCAGUUCAUCUUCAGAGACUUCUAGCCACUUCAACAUCAGAAGCAAGAGUUGGUGUGCCAAGGAAUUCAUCAUCUUUUGAUAAGUUUCCAUCACAUCACUAAAUGUAUACAUAAGCAGGUAAUAAUAAUUAAUUAAAACGCAAUCAUUUUCGCUUACACAGUAAUCUAAUAGUACUAUACUUGAAUUAAAUUUCAUUUAUGUGUCUAAUCUAAUGUCUUUAGCGAAAUUAUUUUGAAUGACAACUUGGAUUUUGCAUACUUGCAGUUUAGUAUUUAAACUACUUAAAGCGUUCCCUAACUCUUAAACUUGUUAAGGAUAGCCUUAACCUUAAUCAUUUUAUCCAAAACUAUGCCCCCAAACCAAAAAAAAAAAGUGCAACUUAAAGUCAGCAAGCGUGAGGAUGCAGUUUUAAUACGCUUAGAAGGGAAAAGAGUUAAGACAAGGGGAUUAGGAUUUUUUUUAUUCAUCUUUUGAGUUGAUUUUGAUAAAAAUGGAGAUGGAUGAAAAAUCAAGGGAAAUGAUGUAUUGAACCUCAAAAAAAAAA